AGCGACCUUAUUACUACCUGGAGGGAUAAUAUUAAGCAUUGAUAAUGCAUUAUAUUGUAGUAGGUCUCAAAGAAACUUAUUAAGUUUCAAAGUUAUUCGCCAAAAUGGCUAUCAUGUUGAGACGGCUAAUGAAGGAAAGGUUGAAUACCUUUACAUUACUACAAUUAAUGUAGAGAAGAAAAUUGUGCAUGAAAAAUUACCUGCAUUUUCUUCUGGGUUGUACUAUACAAGUAUAAGUACAGUUGAAUCACAUGCCGUACUAAAUAAAAGGUUUACUAAUUUUAAUGAUUUUAUCAUUUGGCAUGACCGGUUGGGUCAUCCCGAAUUUAAUAUGAUGCGCAAAAUCAUUGAGAAUUCACAUGGGCACACCUUUAAAACCCAAAUAUCCUUCAAUCAAAGGAAUUCUCUUGUGCUGCUUGUUCUCAAGGAAAGUUGAUCAUUAAACCAUCAACAGUUAAGGUUGGAAUUGAAUUUCCUGCAUUUCUGGAACAUAUACAAUGUGAUAUAUGUGGACCAAUUCAACCUGCAUGUGGACCCUUUAAAUAUCAUAUGGUCUUGAUAGAUGCUUCUACAAGAUGGUCAAAUGUGUGUUUAUUAUCAACUCGCAACAUGGCUUUUGCGAGAUUGCUAGCUCAAAUAAUAAGAUUGAAAGCACAAUUUCCAGACUAUACAAUAAAGACAAUCCGUCUAGAUAAUGCUGGUGAGUUUACAUCUCAGACAUUUUAUGACUAUUGUAUGUCUACUGGUAUAAUAGUUGAACAUCCAGUUGCGCAUGUUCACUCUCAAAACGCUCUAGCGGAAUCAUUGAUUAAACGUCUGCAAUUGAUAGCUAGACCAUUACUAAUGAGAACAAAGUUCUUUGUGUCUAUGUGGGGGCAUGCUAUUCUGCGUGCAGCAGCGCUUGUAUGCAUAAGGCCGGCCAAUUAUCAUGAAUUCUCCCCAUUACAAUUGACUUUUGGUCAACAGACAAAACAUUUCCCAUCUUAGAAUUUUUGGAUGUGCGGUGUAUGUCCCAAUUGCUCCACAACAACGCACAAAGAUGGGACCCCAAAGAAGGUCGGGAAUAUAUGUUGGGUAUGAAUCUCCUUCAAUUAUAAAAUAUUUGGAGCCUAUGACUGGAGAUUUAUUUAAGGCAAGAUUUUCUAAUUGUCAUUUUGAUGAAUCAGUAUACCCAACAUUAGGGGGAGAACAUAAGUCGUUGGGAAAAGAGAUAGAUUGGAAUUCAUCAUCUCUAUCUCACCUGGAUCCUCGAACAAACCAAUGUGAGCAAGAAGUUCAAAGAAUAAUUUAUUUGCAGAACAUUGCAAAUCAACUACCAGAUGCAUUUACUAAUCUUUCAAGGAUUACUAAAUCGCAUAUUCCAGCAGUUAAUGCUCCAGUUCGAGUUGAUAUCCCGAUGGAACAAAUUGUUAAGUAAAAUGAGUCUAGACCACAUUUGAAGCGUGGUAGACCAAUUGGUUCCAAGGAUAAAAAUCCUCGAAAGAGAAAAGGAAUAAAUGAUCAAGAUGAUCAUGGGUUGAAAGAAAUUUCUAUAGAUGAGACCCAAGUUAUAACAAAUAAUGAUGAGGAAGUUCGAAAUUCUGAAAACAAUGAAAUUUCAAUUAAUUAUGUAUCGACAAGAAAGUUGUGGAACCAAAAUAAUGUUGUGAUUGACAACAAAUUUGCCUAUAAUGUCUCUAUUGAAAUAAUGCAACAAGAUGAAGGUUUUGAGCCAAAAUCUCUUCACGAAUGUAGACAGAGAAAUGAUUGGCCAAAUUGGAAGGAUGCAAUUCAAGCUGAAUUGACUUCACUAGAAAAACGUAAAGUUUUCGGACCGAUAAUCCGAACACCUGAAGGUAUCAAAUAGUGGGGUACAAAUGGAUUUUUGUAUGAAAAAGAAAUGAGAAAGGUGAAGUCAUGAGAUAUAAGGCCCGACUUGUUGCUCAAAGUUUUUCUCAAAGACCUGGCAUUGAUUAUGUGGAGACAUAUUCUCCAAUGGUAGAUGCAAUCACCUUCAGAUAUCUCAUAAAUCUGGCAGUUCAUGAAAAACAUGAAAUGUGUCUAAUGGACGUUGUCACGGACUAUCUAUAUGGCUCAUUGGACCACAACAUUUUCAUGAAAAUUCCUGAAGCAUUCAAAGUGCCUGAAGCAUACAAAGAUUCAAUAGAAACUUGUUAAUAAAGCUUCAGAAAUCUCAGUAUGGAUUAAAAUAAUCAAGAAGGAUAUGGUACAAUCGUCUGAGUGAAUAUUUGUUAAAUAAAGGGUACAAAAAUGACCCGAUUUGUCCCUUCAUUUUCAUUAAACGGUCGGGGUCUGAAUUUGUAAUAAUAGUUGUGUAUGUUAAUGAUUUGAACAUCAUUGGCACUCGUAAAGAGCUGUUAGAAGCUGUUGAGUGUUUGAAAAAGAAUUUGAAAUGAAAGAUCUCGGCUAGAAAAAAUUUUCUCUUGGCCUACAGAUUGAGAAUUUGUCAAAUGGAAUACUUGUUCAUCAAUCAACGUACACAGAAAAAAUACCAAAGCGUUUUUACAUGGAUAACUCACAUCCAUUGAGUACUCCAAUGGUGGUAAGAUCGCUUGACAUUAAUACAGAUCCAUUUCGACCUCAAGAGAAUGAUGAAGAGACUCUUGGUGAUAAAACUCCUUACCUUAGUGCGAUUGGGGCACUAAUGUACCUUGCUAACAAUACUCGACCAGAUAUCUGUUUUGCAGUAAGUCUUCUGGAAAGAUUCAGUAUCUCCCAAAAAAAGACAUUGGAAUGGUGUUAAACACAUACUUCGAUAUCUUCGGGGGACCAUGUACAUGAGUUUAUUCUAUUCCAAUGAAUCCAAGUCAGAACUGAUUGGUUACGCAGAUGCAGGGUAUUUAUCUGAUCCGCAUAAAGCACGAUCACAAACAGGCUAUUUGUUUACAAAUGGAGACACGACAAUAUCUUGACGAUCAAUAAAGAAAACGUUGGUAGCCACUUCUUCAAAUCAUGCAGAAAUAAUAGUCAUCCAUGAAGCAAGUCGAGAGUGCGUCUAGUUGAGAUCAAUGACCCAUCAUAUUCAGGAAAUGUGUGGUUUUUUUUUGAAAAAGAAUAUACCAACCACAAUGCACGAAGAUAAUGCUGCACGUAUAGCUCAAUUGAAAGGAGGAUAUAUCAAAGGAGACCGGACAAAGCAUAUCUCACCAAAGUUCUUUUUCACGCAUGAUCUUCAACAAAACGGUGAGAUAGAAGUUCAACAAAUUCGUUCAAGUGAUAAUCUUGCUGAUUUAUUCACUAAGGCAUUGCCAACAUCAACGUUUGAGAAGUUGAGAUACAAGAUUGGAAUGCGCCGUCUCUGAGAUAUCAAGUAAAGUUUUCAUUAGGGGGAGCGAAAUACGCGUUGUACUCUUUUCCUUAACUAUGAUUUUGUCCCAAGUUGGGUUUUCCUGGUAAGGUUUUUAACGAGGCAACAUUCAAAUCGUAUUAUGAGAUAUGUGGACUCUUUUUCCUUCACGAGGCUUUUUCCCACUGGGUUUUUCCUAGUAAGUUUUUAACGAGGCACAUAAUCUAUGGAUAUCCAAGGGGGAGUGUUGUAAAUCCAUUGUAUAUGUGGAUGAUCCAUUUGAGUUAUCCAACAAUUAAUUGGAUUCAUGUAUUAGUGUUUCCAAUGUGAUAAGAUUUCAAUGUGAUAUGAACCUUGAUGAUAGCUAUGUAUAAUUCCAAGGUGACCUUUGACUAUGAUAUCUCAACACUAUAAAUAGAGAUAUCAUUUACCAUUGUAUGAUACACUUGAAUAAAAAAAACUUUCUCCCCUAUCUUAUACUUCUUGUCUUUUUCUUCUUAUAUUCUGUGCUAUCUUUACAAUAAUUAACAAAUUUUGUCUUUGAUAUUAAAAGUCUAAAUUAUGUUGGUAUUGUACACGAAAACACAGUUUAAAUAAUAAGGAAAAGGAAAGACAAACUACAUAAUAAAUGAGCAUAAUCAUAUAACGUAAUUACUUGUAAAAAUUAAUAAUAACAAAAAGGAUAUUGGUGAAGCAAAAGAUUACAACCUAAAGUUACAAUGGAAGAAAAAUUAAAGUGAUCUAGAGUGAGGUUGUAUUUAUUGUGUUUUUUGAUUCGGUGAUAUUUUCGACUCUUUAUUGUACAAAUUGCCGGUUGAGUACUGCGCCUAGUAUGAUGUAUUUAUUAGUUGGUUCGGAUAUCACAUCUAGUACAGAUUUUCUAUUGGCUAGUUUCCGUACCACAUCUGGUACAUGUUAUAUAUUAAUUGGUUGGGAUAUCACGUUUGGUUUAAUUGUUUGUCUUUUUGUUAGAGAAUGAAUUGGGCUAUUUGAUUGUAAUAAUGUUGGAUGUAUUUUUUGUUGUUGCUAAGACUUAUUGGACUAUAUGUGUAUGUCUUCUUGUUAACUAAGUUUAAGUUACUUGUUUGCACUUCAUAUAUUUGGGGCUCGUUGAUGAUCUUAUAGUGUUGAUUUUGUGUAUUGAUAUUAUAUUUUUUAUUCUUUUAUUAAGUACAAAGUAUAUUUCAGCGGUUGCUAACCUACCUCAGUUGUGAGUUUCGCACUUUCUACAUUUAAGGUUGAGUUGUUUUAUUCGGACUGCCAAGAUUUCAUCUCUAUCCCUCAAGUCCAUUGUCGGGAUUCAGAUAUCGUUUUUUGGGGUUGCAACCCCAUAUUGUAGACUAUGUAAGAUGUUUAAUUAUUUAUGUACACGACUUUUAGAUUUUAGGAAAUUAUUAUUGCAUAUUUACUGUUAAUUCUUAUGACGGUUUCCUUUAUUUAUGAGAUUGUUAACUUUAAAUGAUUUAGUUGAGUUUGUAUUGUUUUGACGAUUAGUUCUUCCAUUGGGGGUGGGGGGUUUAGUCAGAUUGUCUCUUACUACAAUUUAGAUUGGAACAUUACAAAACACUCUUUUUAAAUUUUUAAGAUAUAAAAAAACUCCACAAGUGAGUUCAAAUUUUUCACAUUAAUUGACCUAUCAAUGUUUGAAUUUGUGAUGAUAAAUACGGAUAUCACUAUCAAUUAGUUUUUAAGCAUCAAAAGAUGAAAAUCAUAAUUGCAAAUUAAGAAGAACAACAAAUUCCAGAUAUCUUUAAAUAUAUACAAAAUGAGUUGCAAAGUAAAUCUCAAAAUAUGCGCUAAAUAGAUCAAAAUGACUUCGAACUUAACAAGUUUUAUUUAAUGCACACUUAAACCCUAUAUGUUAGUAUAGUUAUCCCCUUGAACAUGGUAAUUUGGAAAUCUCAACUCUUCUAGAUGUUAAUAUGAUAAAAGAACGUGAAUUGGCUCAAUUUUAAGUACGUGGAAGGAAAGAAAAUUGAAAAUUUGACUUUAAGUAUAAUAUUUUUCAACUAUUUAUUGCCACAUAAUUAUUAUAAUAAUAUAUUUAAGCCAAUUAUAUUCCUCUUUGUUUAAUAUGCAUCGUGCAUUUUGUCCCAAUUUCACAAAAAGAAGAAUUACUUCAAUGGGUACCUUUUAAUAAAAAAAAUUAAACUAUAACUCUAUUUAUCUAAUCCAAAUAAAAAAUGAUUUAACUAAAGUAAUGAAGUCAAAAUGAUGUAAUUUUUAUAUUUUAAAAAAAAGAAAAUAUAAAUACUUAUUUUUGCAGUGAGUACUUAUUUUAAGUUUUUAACUAUGCAUUAUCAUUAUUUUCGGUUCAAAUUGUUUGAAAACUUUUUUUCUAUAUAAUUUCGCAUUAGAUGCAUUGAUUGUUUCUUUUAAUAAAAAAGGUCUACCGUAAAACGAAUUUGAUUAUAUAUGAUUAUUUUAAAAAACAUAAUAGAAUUAAAAUGUUUAUUCCAAUUUAAUUUUUCAUAUUGGCCAGAAAAGGAUAAUUUAAAUAAUUGGUAAGACCUGAAAAAAAUUUAAACAUUAUUCUAGAAAAUGUCACUUGGACAAUAAAAUUUACUAGCGUAUGUAACACACUUUUAAGGGUUGCCAGCAUCCAGGAGAAGUGUGACUAUUAAAUUGUCAAGUUAAUGAGGAUAACUAAAUCAACAUAAAGCUUAGGUAUGCACUAAAUUAAUUUCAUCAAGUUUAGAGAAUUGAUCUAUUCCGUCUUUGAAUCAUAAGCUUAAGUUAAUAUUAAAAGUGCGUGAAGAACACUUAUCUAGACUUAGUAGGGUCGAAAAGAGCUCUUGGGGGCUGUUGUAAUCGAUCGGCAAGUGAAAAGGGGGAAAAGAAAUUCAAUAUAAAUUUUUUAAAAAUCUGGAAAUUUGAUAUACCACUGAUAUAGAGUGAUAUCUAGAUCGUAUACAAUGAUAUUUUCACGACCCGAGUAUACAAGCUAGACGUGGCCGGCACUCAAGAACCAUUUAUGGUCCACAAGCGAACCCUCAUUCUGGAUGACUACAAGCAAAAGACUAACUUAAGAAUGCAAAAGCUUAAAAAUGAAAUAAAAUUUCAUAUAACUUAAAUCCAAAGAAAACUCUAUACAAUAAAGCAUAUGCAACUCGCCAUAAAAGGCAACUUUAGUAUUUAAAACAUUUAACAAAAUAAAUGAAGACUUCUAAGUUCUACUGUCUAUCUAUGAAGCCUCUAAACGACCUCCUAACAACUGAAAGUAAAUGUAAUCCUCCGAAAGAAAGGAGACUCACCAUAGUUAACUCGAACUCUAUGUGACAUCAACGAAGCUCUGAUUAAAAUCCUUAAUACCUGGAUCUGCAUCAUGAGAAGAUGCAGGCCAAAUGGCUCAGUACGUGGAAAGUACAAGCAUGUAAGGGGAAUUCUAAAGCAUAACAUAAGCUUGAACUUGAUAAAAAUGAAAACAUACUUGCCUCUUUUUAAAAUUAAUCAACUCAAGGAUUACUCAAAGAUAUUAAAAACUACUAACUUACUCAACUCACAAAAAGUCAAGGAUAAUAUAAUCAACUCGGAGAUUAGAUACUCAAAUCAAGAUUAGAUACUCAACUUCAAAUAUUAGAUACUAAAAAUCUAAGAUAUAAUACUCAGCUCUGGAUACUCAACUCAUGAAUACUUAACUGAGCUCAUUUAUUAUAAGCAUUUUAAAACAAGUUCAAUGUAAAUAAAAAGGAAAAUUUUUUGUAACUUGAUGUAAACUCAUAAUCAUAAUAUCAUUAAAAAAAUAUCAUGCUCCUUCUCAAAGUCUACCUCUGCAAUGCAUGAAUGAAGUCUCAUACCCACAUUCACACUAAGCAGAAUCACUUGAGGAACCAUGCAAUUACUGUUGUGAGAGUUUCUCUAACCGACAACCAUCACUUAAUUGUUAUAGUGAUGGUACAUCAUUAUUAUGCCCACGCUGCCCGUUCAUUCUACACCUUGCCAGAGUAUAAGAUCUAAACUACUAAGUGGAUCAAGUAGUCUAUUGUGAAUAGGGUUUAUCUAAAAAGUAUGACCUUUUUUUAAUCCAUGAUAGCUACAUGGUUUAUGGAGAUUUUAGUUAAUAUGAACUCGCAACCCCAUAUCGAUGCUCAAUACUACUCCCAAAAAUAUACUUAGCUCAUAUGUUUUAAAAUAACUUCUUCUGUGAUCUGAGAUUAAUGCUCAAAAGCUAUCUUGAAAAUCUCGGUUUCCUCUCUACUGAAAACUAGCCCCAAAGGCUCAUUUGGAAAACUCAGUUUCCUUUCUUGUUUAAACCUCUUUUGAAAAUCUCAGUUUCCUCUCAUCUUAAAUAUGAAAAAAUUUACUCUUGAGAAUACUUAGUUCUCAUAUAUCAUUUUAAAUAAAAAAAAGAACUAAAAUCUUAAUGAUACUCAAUUUAGAGAGUCCAUGCAGAACAUAUGGGCAUGAACGACUCGACUCGAAGAGUUAAGUAUCUACAUGAAACUCAUGCAUACAAAUCUUCUCAUUCUCUUACUUACUUCCUCAAAACUUAUUUCAAAUCAAUGUUUGAUCCCAAAGGAAAUCAAAUACCUUCUUGAACUUUACUCUUGACUCUCUCUUGAAUGUUAAUUAUUAAUUCAAGAGUUAUGGUUCAUGAUAUGAAGGAUUUAGGUGAUAUUUUGCCUCAUGACUACAUUCUACUCACUCUCGCGCUCACUUAAUUGAGUCUUGAAACAAGUUACUAGAAGUUGUAGAAGACUCCUCAAAAGGACUCAUAGAAACUCUCUCUAAAGGUUUGGAAGAAAUCUCGAAACUUAAUCUUAACUUUACCUUGAAUUUGAAUUAUUAAUUGAAGUUUAUAAUUCAUGUAUGAAUGAUUUCUAAGUUUUUAUAAGUAUUUUAAAGUAUUUAAAAUCAAAAGGAGUGAAGAUACACUUCAAAUUAGCUCAAACAGGACAACCGAUGGAAAAGAAGUGGGGGCAGGCGACCCUGGCGCGUUCUACGCGUAGGUAACUAGCCCCUAACUUUAGAGACUACAUAUGGGCACACUGAAAGCGUGCUUCCACAGCCAUUUGGGCUCAUCUGGGGUGCGCCGCGCCAGCCUCUCCCUAGGCAAAGUUUCGACGAAUUCGCCUCUCGUUUUCUUCCCCUAAAUCGUUUUAAUCGAUUUCUUUUCCCAAAUUAUCCUUCGAUUCAAAUUACACAACCUAAGUACAUAUUAAUACACUCAAAACAAUCAUUUUCAUCUCAAGAAAUCAUCAAAAACCCAACAAGCCAAUAUUUAUAAUGAACCUCAAGAACACCAAUCAAGAACUUAAAUCCUUCAACUUUUUGUGAAUGAAAUUACGCUCAAACUAACAUGUUUGGUGUGUGGGUGAACUAACACAGCACUAUGGAAUAUUACAUACCUCUUAGUAAGUGAACCUAUGGCAAAAUUCCACAACAAGACGCAAGAAUCUCGGCGAAUAUUUGAUCCUCUCCUCUUUUCUCUUUUUGACCUCUCAACUAAACCCUAGGAGUAUAGGAUUAUAAAACUAAACCUAAAACGACUAUACCCUGAAAAUAUUACUAAAAAUGAAUUGAAUCUGAUUGGGUAAGAAAAAAACCAAAAUACCCCUUACUAUUUUCGUGUAACUUUCCUUAACUUGAUAGCCUAACUUCAAAAGGUCAUAUCUCACUCAUCCAAACUCGAAACAUAGCAAACUUGGUGGCGUUAAAAAGAUAAUUAAACAUAUGUCCUAAGGUAUAUUGUAGCAUACCUAAGCAUCCUUUUAUAAGAAUUAUGACCGUUUGAAGUUUAUAAAAAACUCAUACUUAGCUAACUCUCCAAAUUUUAUAUUUUUGUUAUUUAAAAUUUAGUUUUAUUAGAACUCAAGGUGCUACAACUGACCUGACCUUGAUACUAAAGAAAUUUUGAAUUCUUUGACAAAAACUUACUUACUUUGAAGGAUGGUUUGAGUCUUAGUUCAAAAGAUUUUCUAGGGUGUUACAGAUAUACGGGUAGUACAUUGAUACCAUGAGUCAUGGUAUAGCUCGUGAUUAAUCGCCUUUGUCAAUUUUCAGACUCUAUCAAGUUUUUAUGGUUCAUAAAAAAUGGGUUUUACUAUUAAAGUACAAGUCGUACUCUUACUCAUGGUAUUUGGGACUAAAUUUUUUACACUGGAGCAUCUAUGGUAAAACAAAUUUUUUAUUCAAGAAUCGUAUUGACAAGCACUUAGCAGUGUUGACACUGCAACAAAUAUAACUUUUAGCGGCAAUAAAUAGGCACAUUAAUAUAGACUUCUAAAGUCUUUACCGACUUUAUUUAAGUGUCAUUAGAUCCAAAUUCGCUAAAAUCUUUUGGGACAUAUACUAAAAGUGUUAAUUGCUGCUAAAUAUAUAUUUAGUGGUAAUUGCUAAUUAAUUACCGCUAAAGAUCAUUUUUUAUGUAGUGUAAAAUGAAAAUUCAAAGAUCAUAAUUUGGUGGGUAUAGUGGGACACAUAACUCUUCAUAUUCAAGGAGAUAUACUCAUAUAAAUUUGAUCCUAAAAUAUCUUAUGCAAAAACUUAAUAAGUAUUGUUGUUGAAGUGAAAAUAAUUGAAACUUAGUAUAGAUUUAAAAUUUUGAACUAUCGUAGUGUAACAAAAAAAAAUUCUAAGCUAAGACUAGAACUAAAUUGAAGAAUGCAUGUCACACGUGUCACGCCCCGAGCCUAUAUCCAGGAUGUCGCCAGCACUCGAAGAUCAUUGUUGGCCUCAAACGAACCCUUGGCUUAGCUUGAUUACUCAGCGGAAGACUUAAAGCAUUAAUACAAGGAUUAAGAUGCUAACUAACUCAAUUGUCUGGAACUGAAUUCAAAAUGUUUUAAAAAUAAACAUUUACCUUAGCCAAAAUGGCAACUCAAAUCUGAAAAUAAAUUAAUAACAAAAUUAUGAUGAAAGAACUAACAUUUGACUGUAUAUCUAUGAAAACUCUAAUAACUGAGACAGAUGUUGGUACAGACUCCAUAACAUCCUAAUAAACUAAACUAGAAAGCAAUGAAAACGGAUCCUCCGAAAAACAAGGAGGUUCACCAACUGACUCUAAACUGCUCACUCGAUCAACGGUGGGCUAGAAUGUCAAUCCUAGUUACCUACAUUUGCAUCAUAAUACAAUGCAGGCCAAUUGGAAUCAGUAUGUUGAAUGUACGAGUAUGCGAGUUAGAGUGCUAAAACAACAUAUGCUUGAAGUAGAUUAUGAAAGAAACACUUACCUUAGCUAUUGUCCAAUGCAUAAAUGAAGUCUCGUACCCUCAUUCAUACUAAGCAGAAUCUCUUGAGGAACCAUGCAACUACUGUUGUGGGAGUUUCUCUAACCGAAAACCAUCACUUAAAAGCUACAGUGAUGAUACAACACUUAACAUUUGUAUUCCCCCAAAAUAUAUUUAGCUCAUAUGUUUUAAAAACAUCUACUUCUGUGAUUUGAGAUUAGUGCUCAAAAAAUUAACUUAAAAGCUCUGUUGGAAUCAAUGUUCCCUUUUGUUUCUUAAAUGUGAAAAUAUUUGUAAACUCUUAAGGAAUACUUUGUUCGCUUAUAACUUUUGAGAAAUGAAGUCAACUCUUUACUUUUCGAUUAACUUGAAACUAAAGCCUUAUAACAAAGUUAAAGACUUAUGAAACUUGAAAUGAACUUCUUAUCAUUAUCUUUUCUCUUUACUCAACUUUAUCCUUAAGUCUUAAAACAAAGUUUAAAGCAUUUGUAAAAGACUUCUUGAAACAACUCUAAGAAAUUUCUAGAAUUGGCUCAAAACUUCCCUUGAUUUGAAGUUACGGAUUCAAAGUUUUAAUUCAUGUUACUUAAUGAUUUAUCCUUAGAAGUCAUUUAGAGUAGUUAGAAUCAAUAUGAAGUGUGAAAACACUUAAGAAAAUAUUAAACAGACGGAAUAAUGAAAAUUGGGUGAAAACCAAAGUUCUGGGUGUGUCUGGGCGGACCAUGCCAGCCUCACUUUACUGAGGCACCAUUCUAGCACACUGCUGGCAUGCCACCCCAGCCCUCCUGGCAUUAUGGGGGCGCGUCGCUCCACCUGUUACUUAGGAAAAAAUCUGGCAAAUUUUUCCUCUCGUUUCUGACCAUUAAUCAUUUUAAUUCGAUUCUUUUCUAUAAAAUUCACUUUAGAUUCAUGUACACAUAUCAUGUAUACAAGUAUCUAACUCAAUUAAUUCAAGAACAAUACCUAUAUCAUCAAAGAAAUCCUAAAUCUUAACUUAUGUUUAAGAAGGAAAGCAAUUCAAGAACAUUGAAAAAAUCCAAUUUUUUUAGUAUGAAAUUACGCUGAAUCAAACAUGUAUGGCACGUGGGUGAAUGAACCCAACAUUAUGGAAGACUCAAAUACCUUUUCAGGGAUCACCCCCGAUGAAAUCCACAAUUUAUUUUCAACGAACUCAACGAUCUUGGUUCAUUUUUCCUUUCUUCUUCUCUUGUGUUCUUUCUCCAAAACCCUAACCUUUCUUCAAAAGUGUCAAACUGAGCAAGUUCAUUUUAUACCCUUAAUAAUAUUAACAAAAACAAAUUUAAUUAAUCGGGUAAGAAAAAGACCAAAUUACCCUUUUAAUUUCUGGAUUGGACAUUUUCUUAAUCCAACAGCCCAACUUCCAAAUAGCAUAACUCACCUAUCCGAACUCGAAACGUUGCAAACUCCAUGGCGUUGGAAAGAUGGUUCCAAGUGAUUUCCAACCAUAUCUUGAACUAAACCUAACUCAUCCUAAGAUAGGAGUUAUGGACGUUUGAAGUUGACCAAAAACUCACUGUUUCCUAACUUAAGAAAAUUUGUAGAUUUUAAUUCUUUCCAAAACUAACUAAUUAGACUUUUAAGCUUCUUCCUAGCUAUUUCAAUUUGCGAUAUGUUGAAACACAGCUCUAUCCAAUAAUGAUGAUCCCUACGUAAACUAUACAUCUCUAUCCUUCUCUAAAAAUGCAUGUUGGUUUGUUUUUGUGGUAGCCUCCUUCGAUUCUUGUUAGUUUCAUAAAUUUGGUAACCCUAAUAUUAACCAACCAUCCAAAUAUUUGACCCUAAAUUACAUAAGCUUAAGUUGUAGCGUAGCAUACCUAUGUUCGGAUAUAUAUAUUAUUAAUCAUAUGUUAAGAUAUAGUAUUUAUUAUAGAAUAAAUAUUUGUUCAGUUUUAAUAGAUUAUACAUUCGUUUACGGUGUUUAUUUACUUAUAUAGUAGAUACUUUAGUAUGUUGAAUUUUAGUUUAUACAUAGAGGAUUAAAUCAUCAAUUCUUAUAAGUAUAAAGUUUUUUGUUCUCAAUCUAGAAUGGUAAUUGGACAUGUCAUUGUGUACAAGUGUAGCACAAGAUUAUAUGUAAUUUAUCCUGAUUAUGUGAACGUUAUAGUUCCAACUUCUUGUCCGAGUCAUUUUGUAUGUAUUGAAUGCGGCCGGGUAGAGAUAGUUGUUUUAGACUGACUGACAAAAAUGUAUUCUAUAAACUAUUAAAUGUACUUAUAUUCUUAAUCCUGAUAUAUCUAUUAUGAUCUGUAUAUAUUAAUUAUCAUUUUGAUUUAUUAAAAGGUGAGAUUCUUGAGAUGGGUCAAUAUGCUUGGUAAGUUAGAUGAUAAUAAUAUAUAUUGGUGAAACAAUAAGUUAGUUGAUGGAAUUCAUGUCUCGCUAUAGAGAUUGAUUGAUAUACCUUUUUGAGAAACUUAUAAGGUUUCAUUGUGUCAACCCUUGCAAGUGGAUUUAUUAAUCUGACACAUGAAAUAAGUUAAGUAGUAUUAUAAAGAAAAUUAAUCAUUAAGUUAAAUUCGUGAGUAAUUUAAUCUGUUGAUUAGUAUCUGAAAUCUUAACAUGGAUAAUUACAUGAGUGUUUAAUGGGGAAUUUUAAAAUAUAAAUAGAGAAGUGCAAUUACGAAUUUCUAGUGGAAUGAUUUGUAAUUUAUUAUUGUAAGAAUAAUUCAAAUUGAUUAUUUUGAAUUAUUUCCAUUAUAGGAAGCCUCAAAACUAAUUAUGUAGUCUCUACAUUGUCUCAUAUUUAACUAGAACUCAUAAUCGCAUUUCCUAAGGGAGGAGAAAUUCUCUUUUUAACCUAGAAAAAGAUUGAUUACUUUUCUAUUCAUACGUGCCCACCCAAGUAUUGAGAGAAUUCAGACGUGAACUUGAGAUCACUUUAGAAGACCAUAGCUAUCUUGUAGAUUUUGUAGAUUCACUAUUGAAGGACUGUCUAAUUUGGAAAUUUGCUUGAAGAUAUUUUUUCACGCUUCAAGAGGUAUUUAUUGAAUUAAAUUUCUGCAAGUUUAUGUGAAUAAGCAAAGAUUAUGUGUAUUCGAGCAUAACUGAAUUUGGUAGUCUAUUAGUCAUGUAAGUUGUAAAGAUUUUGGUAUGUUUCCGCUGUGCAUAUAAUUUUUUAACAACUUAUGCUCGGAAGAGUUAAUUGAUAGUGUAGAGCAUAAGUUGUCGUGUAAAUCUAAUAUACCUGUUAAAAACUUUACACCGAAUCAAUAAAAAUGUAUAAUAAAUUUUAAGCCCAAUAAAUUAUGAUAAAGUUCGAUAACUAUAAUGUUCCAAUUUUGAAUUCGUCUAAUUUAAGUAUAAUGUGAUUCUCACAACAAGUGUUGGAUGAGGAAUGAGGAUUGAUUAAUUAAUAGUAAUAGUUUGAACAGAAAAGGACCUAAAAUAUCUUCGAAGUAUUGAAAAUGGUACAAAAUUAUCCUUCAUUCACCUAUUGUCUCCAAAAUACUCUUUUCACCCACCUAUUGGCUCCAAAAUACCUUUGUCAUCCACCUUUGCGUUCAAAAUUGACCACUUAUUUAACGGUUUCAAAUUUAAACUAUUUAAUUUUUUUUAAAAUACUUGGCGCUCAAUUAUUGGAUAUAAUGUAAUUUAUUAAUUAAUAUCAUUUAUAAACCAACCCACUACCCAUCCAUUACUAAUGAAGCCCCUCCCAAUUAAUAAACCAUUUGUAAUAUCAAAAUUGCCCUAAACACUACUAAAACACGAUGAAAUUACUGAUUCCUGAAAAUUAUAUUCAAAAUUAUUUGAGUCCAAAUUUAAUCCCCAAUUAAACUUAGGUUGAGCCGCUUAUUUAGAAGGACACUUUCAAUAGGAUUCUGUUUCAAGCUUGAAUUCAAAAUUUAUGAUUAAAGGUAAAGAAGUCGCACCUCUCGAAUUAAUUCAUGCACUUUUUUUAGUAUAAUUUGUAAAUAUUUAUUAUUAGUUUUAAAUAUUAAAAUUAUAAUAUAUUCUUUUUUAAAAAAAGUUAUCUAUUAUGUAACAUCACAUAAUUGAGGCAAAUGAAUAAUUAAGAUGAACAUAGUCAGACUUUUAAGUUUAUCGGCAAUUUUUAUUUAGACACUUGAAUUAUAAUAUUUUUUGAUUGAGGACUUGAAUGUAUGUGCAGUCACUUAAAAUUUAUCAAAUAUAAAUUUAUAAAGUUGUUCGGAUUAUAUUAAAUUAAUGAAUAUAUUAGUCCAAAUAAAUAUUGUGGACUAAUAUUAUUGAUUUAAUUAUUUAAAUUCAGAUAAAUAUGAAUUUAAUUAAAGCCCGCCCCAUAAAGCCCAUAUGAUAUUUCACUUAAAUCUGAUUGGCCGAAGGUUCUAGUCUCAACUCUUUUAUUCUAAAAAUAUAAAUAGGGGUCUCAUAAUUUAGUAAAAGAGAACCAAGAAUUCUAAACAAGAAGCUAGAGAAAAUUCAUGGUACAAAUGUCAUUAAAUUCUCUACAAAGCUACAAGUUUAAGAAUUCGAGCAUUCAAGUUCAAGAACGAUCAAGAUCAAGGCCAUCGAAUUCAGGAACAAGCUUGAAGCCCUUGAAUUCAAAUAAAAGUCAAGAUCAAGAUAAAGUUCAAGUUCAGGUUCAUUAGAGAUUCAAAAACAAGUUUUAAAGCCCUUGAAUUUAUAUUUGAAAAGGCGAAUUAAGAAAAUCAUAGAAAUUGUAAAACUCGCAUUUGAAAUAAUAAAAUUGAUUGUUGCUAUAAUCUUCCGUUAUUGAUUAUUAUUUCUCGACGUGAAUUUGAUUGUAUAGUGUAUGAUAAUGUACUUCUAAAGAUACUUUCACCUCAAUUUUUUAGAAACACUCAUUGGUAGUAGCUUUCAUGUUGUGCAUUAGUAAUGGGGCGGGCUUAUUAAUUGGGCGUGGUUUACUUAUUAAUGGGUUGGUAGUAGAUUGGUUAAUAAAUUAUAUUAAUAAGUUAAAUUAUAACAAAUAAUUGAGCGUCCUGUAUUAAAAGUAUAUUUAAAUAGUUAAAAUUUAAAAUCAUUAAAUAAGUGAUUAAUUUUGAACUCAAAGGUGGACGACAAGGGUAUUCUGGAGUCAAUAGGUGGAUGAGAAGGGUAUUUUGUACCAUUUCUACUACUUCAACGAUAUUUUUAGGCCAUUUUCCGUAGUUUAAAUAUCGCUAAAUAUAUUUUUAGAGGUAAUUAACACUCUUUUGUAAAUGUCCCAAAAGGCUAUACCGAUGACAUUAGACCAAUAGCAAUUAAGUAAUAUUGUAACAGUUUUAGCACUCUUUUGUUAAUAUGCCUACUUAUUACUGCUAAAAGUUAUUUCACCAAUAUAAAAUUAUAUUUUAUGAUGUGAACUGUUUCUAUUUUUUUGAAAUGAAUCUCUUUAAGGGAAAGGAUCUCACGGAAAGAAUUGUAAAUCUAGAAAACUAAAUUAUGAUAAGACGAAGAAGGAUAAACUAUUAUGACACAUGAGUAGCAGCAAAAGAGUGAAUUGUAUUUGUUUUUUGUUUUUUUUUUACAGUGUAGAGGUUUUACAACAAAAAGGAACACAUUUUUUACUGGCCUUUGAUUUUUGGCAACUAUCAAAAGAAUCAAAAUAAUAUUAAACCAAAGUACAAAGUUUUGGACAAUAAUGUUAUAGAAUUUAAGGCCUGUGGAACCUUUUACUUUCUCCACAGCCCAUAAUAGAAGUAGGCAAUUUGCCAACUUUCUCAAUUCCUUCUUCAAGUACAACUCCCAUUCCCAUGAAGAAAUGUGACUCAAUAUGGCAAUGGAAGGCCCAAACUCCUGGAUUAUCGGCCCGAAAUCGCAAUGCGGUCCAUCCAUAAGGAUGGACUGGGAUUGUGUUUUUCAUUAUUGGGUUAACAAAGAUGUAAUUCUUUGGAUCAAUAGAUUGGUUAAACUUGCCAUUACCAUAGCCCAUGACCCAAAAGUCAUGUCCAUGUAAAUGCCAAGGAUGUGUCUCACUGUUGUUUAGGUUCAUUGUGUUGGCAUUUUGCAAUAUGAUGUCCACUGUUGUAUUGAACUUCAAUCGAUAAAUCGAGUUGCUAGUUGUAGCAUUAACAUUUGGCGCGAUAUUGAAGAUGUCGUAAUUCUUUUGGUCAUAGUUGUCCGGAGGAGGGGUUUGCUCGAAAACAUGUAAUAAGUUGUGUUUAUGACGUCAAACAUCGCGGAAUUGGUGCUAUGUUAGAUAUUGAAAGAGAAUUUCCCAUUGUCGCUCUAUUUGAUGAAAUAAACAGGAUAUAUGCAUUGUUAUUUCACCAGAGGCGUAUGAAUCUUGUGCACUCCGCAAACAGAUUUGUUCCUUCAAUUGAAAAACACAUAUCAGAGUAUGUCAACGCGGGCAACAAGUUGUUGGCCCAUCAAAUCGCUAACUUCAAGUUCAGUGUCACUGGUCAUGGAGAUGUUGCUACCAUGGAUCUACAGAGAAGAACUUGUACUUGUAGAAUUUUUUAAUUUGAACAAAAUACCAUGUCCACAUGCAAUGGCAGCAAUUCGAUCCAAACAUGGUGAUGAUAUUGGAAAUCAGAUUUACUUGUACUCCUCUCCAUAUUAUUCAGUGGAAAAAUACAUAAUGGCAUAUUGUCAGGAAAUUCACCCGGUGCCAACUGAAGAUUCUUGGAUUGUCCCUUUGGAUGUCACACAAAGAGAAAUACCUCCUCCAUAUGUUGAUCCAAGUAAACCCGGGAGAAGGACAUAUAAGAGACGGAGUGGAGUUGGUGAAUCAUUUCAAACAAGAAAAAAUAAGUAUUCAGUAUGUAGAAACUUUGGCCACAAAAAAACUACAUGCCCAAAUCGAAAUGCCUCAUAAGAAGUGUUAAGCAUUGUGUUGUUGAAUUUUAAUGAAUGUUCUUUCUUAUUUGAGGAUGAUCUCUAUUAUAUAAUCUUAUUUAGAAAUGCCCCUACCCGUGAGUUGUUGCUCUUCUUUGUUUGUGUCAACACAUGUAAAAUGUUGCUACAGGAUAUACUAGAUGUGGCAACAUAUGCAACAAAUAUUGUUGCAGGCGAAUCAUCUGCAGCAACAUAUGCCACAUGUUGUGAUUCGCCUUUAGCAACAUAUGACUCAUAUGUUGGAACAUAUAAUAUAUCUAAAAGCACACUAUAAAGUAAUCAUUAUUCAAUAGUAUAUGUUGCCAUUGAUGCUUAUAUGUUGCAACAUAUGACUCAAAUGUUGCAACAUAUAAUCAUAUGUUCCAACAUAUGACUCAAAUAUUGUGACGGACAAAUGUUGUGAUAUAUGCAUCAGUUGUACCAACAUUUGACACAAAUGUUGCUUCAUAAAAUGAUGUGUAGCAACAUCUACUUUUAACUAAUGAUUACGUGGGAUUGUGCUUCUAGAUAUAUUAGAUGUGGCAACAUAUGCAAUAAAUGUUGCUACAGACGAAUCAGUUGUAGAAACAUAUGCCACAUGUUGUGACGGACGAAUGAUGCUCCAUAUAAUCAUCUGUAGCAUCAUAUGACUCAAAUGUUGCUACAUAUAAUCAUCUGUAGCAACAUAUACUUUUAAAUAAUGAUUACGACGAUGCUUUUAUAUGUAUUAGACGUGGCAAAAAAUGCAAUAAAUGUUGCUACAGAUAUAUCAGCGGUAGCAACAUAUGCCACAUGUUGUGACGGACGAAUGUUGCUACAUAUAAUCAUCUGUAGCAACAUAUGACUCAAAUAUUGCUACAUAUAAUCAUCUGUAGCAACAUAUACUAUUAAAUAAUGAUUAUGACUGUGGUUUUAGAUAUAUUUGAUGUGGCAACAUAUGCAAUAUAUGUUGCUACAGAUAAAUCAGCUGUAGCAAGAUAUUCCACAUUCUGUGACGGACAAAUGUUGCUACAUAUAAUCAUCUGUAGCAACAUAUGACUCAAAUAUUGCUACAUAUAAUCACCUCCAGCAACAUAUACUUGUAAAUAAUGAUUACGACUAUGAUUUUAGAUAUAUUAGAUAUGACAACAUAUGCAAUGAAUGUUGCUACAAAUAUAUCAACUGUAGCAACAUAUGCCACAGGUUGUGACGGACGAAUGUUGCUACAUAUAAUUAUCUACAGCAAUAUAUGAAUCAAAUGUUGCUACAUACAAUCAUCUGUAGCAACAUAUACUUUUAAAUAAUGAUUAUGACUGUGUUUUUAGAUAUAUUAGAUAUGGCAACGUACGCAAUAAAAGUUGCUACAGACGAAUCAGAUGUAGCAACAUAUGCCACAUAUUGUGAAAGAAGAAUGUUGCUACAUAUAAUUAUUUGUAGCAACAAAUGACUCAAAUGUUGCUACAUAUAAUCAUCUGUAGCAAUAUAUACUUUUAAAUAAUGAUUACGUGGGACUUGCUUUUAGAUACAUUAGAUGUGGCGACAUAUGCAAUAAAUGUUGCUACAGAUUUCCAUUUUUCCUUUCCUAAAUUGAUAAAAGCUUCUAUUAGUCUCUCCAACAUAUGCAGUUUCUGUAGUUAAAUUCGCAACAUAUAAGAAACUGUUGCAACAUAUAAUUAUAACAAAUAACUCUUUUGGGGCUUCAUUCAAUUAAAUUAUCAUGUAAUUCGAUAUGUAACACCAAUAUAUAGUCCUACAACAUGUCUAAGUAACAAAUUAUGGUCGUUAACAACACUCUCCAUUGGAUUAUAGCAAUUAGAUUUAUAAAGACAAUUAUCUCUCUAGUUCAUCAUACAUUGUCCUAGUAAAUCCAUAUAAUAGUUAUAUAACACCGUUCUAAAUCAUUGUUUCAAAUGUUAUACCUUAUUAUUAUUGAUUAUUUAUGUUCUAAAUCACUAAAAUUUGGUUCAAAUUUCCAUUUUUCUUUCCUAAAUCGAUCAAAUUGUCUAUUAAUGUCUCCUUGAAUUUUCAUUUGUAGCAACAUAUGCAGUUUCUGUAGUUAAAUUCGCAACAUAUAAGAAACUGUUGCAACAUAUAAUUAUAAUAAAUCUUUUGGGGCUUAAUUUAAUUUAAUUGUCAUGUAAUUCGAUGUGUAACACCAAUAUAUAGUCCUACAACAUGUCUAAGUAACAAAUUUAUGUUCGUUUAGAACACUCUCCAUUGGAUUAUAACAAUUAUAUUUAUAAAGACAAUCAUCUCACUAAUUCAUCAUACAUUGUGCUAGUAAAUCCAUAUGAUAGUUAUAUAACACCCUUCUAAAUCGUUGUUCCAAAUGUUAUACCUUAUUAUUUUUGAUUAUUUAUGUUCUAAAUAACAAAAGUUUGUUUAAAUUUCCAUUUCUCUUUUCCUAAAUUGAUUGAAUCGUCUAUUAGUGUCUCCUUUAUUUUUAAUCUGUAGCAACAUAUGCAGUUUCUGUUGUUAAAUUCGCAACAUAUAAGAAACUGUUGCAACAUAUAAUGAUAACAAAUGACUCUUUGGGGGGCUUAAUUCAAUUAAAUUGUCACGUAAUUUGAUUUGUAACACCAAUAUAUAGUCCUACAACAUGUCUAAGUAACAAAUUAUGAUCGUUAAUAACACUCUCCAAUGGAUUAUAGCAAUUAUAUUUAUAAAGACAAUCAUCUCACUAGUUCAUCAUACAUUGUCCUAGUAAAUCCAUAUGAUAAUUAUGUAACACCCUUCUAAAUCGUUGUUCCAAAUGUUAUACCUUAUUAUGAUUGAUUAUUUAUGCUCUAAAUCACUAAAAUUUGGUUCAAAUAUCCCUUUUUCAUUUCCUAAAUCGAUUCAAUAGUCUAUUAGUGUCUCCUUGAUUUUUCGUCUGUAGCAACAUAUUCUGUUUCUGUUGUUAAAUUGGCAAAAUUUAAGAAACUGUUGCAACAUAUGAUUAUAACAAAUGACUCUUUUUCAGAAGUGGCCCAAUGAUAGGCAAACCCCAUUCUAUUUUUAAAAAAAAUUAAAAUAAGCCCAACCCAUUCUAGAAUAUGUUUUCAUUUUCAUUUCAAGAAUAGGGUUUUCAAAUUUUUCUUCUUUGCCGCUUCAGUUUUGGCGUGUUUUUUUCAAAUCAAAUUUGAUUUUCUGUCAGUCAUACUGUUCUAUAUUUGGUUCACCUUUGGUUAAACCAAAUUUCGGUACUCCCAUGGAUUGUCAAAUUCUAUACUAAGUCGAAUUUGCGAUGAUGAAAAUGAUACUAUAUUGAAUCUUAAAAUGUAUUGCAAACAUGGAGAUCUACUUUCAAUGCAAACUUCAUGGUCACAAUCCAGGUUGCAGAUUUUGAUCUUGUCCACGAUAUCGUGUAUGUGUGUUUAUUUCUAAAAUAUUUUGGAGACUUCAGAUCUCUUUAUUUUUUUAAAUAAAUUUAUUUCUUUGUGGUAUUUUAGGAGAAUUCAUGCAACUUGUUUACAUGGAGGGAUCGUGAAGUUGUUGAUAUAAGAUCCAAGUUUGUUAUUCUCCGAUUGGCAAACAAAAUUAAGGAGUUGGACACUGUUGAUGAAAGUCAUAUCAAAAUAAGUACCAAAUGGGGGAUGAAGGAGAAGAAAAAGACCAAAUGUUGUAGCAUCUGGAAGUUAAUGUUGGUGUUCUUUGUUUUUUUUUCUUGUAUUUUUGUGCAUUACAAAAAAGAAUUUUGUAGAGGAUACAAAAUUAUUAUGUAGUUGUGUACAACCAAUACAAUUAUCAUAGUUAUGGAAUUAAAUAGACGUAGUUUUGCACUUCUGAUCAAACAACAAAUUAUUAUGUACUCGUGAGGACGAAUGUUGUGAUAUACGCUUCAGUUGUAGCAACAUAUGACUCAGAUGUUGCUACAUAUAAUCAUCUGUAGCAACAUCUGACUCAAAUGUUGCUACAUAUAAUCACCUAUACCAACGUAUGACUCAAAUGUUGCUACAACUGAUUCAUCUGUAGCAACAUAUGCCAAAUGUCGUGAUGGAUGAAUGUUGCUACAGACGAAUCAACUGUAGCAACAUAUGACUCAAAUGUUGCUACAUAUAACCACCUAUACCAACAUAUGACUCAAAUGUUGGUACAGCUGAUUCGUCUGUAGCAACAUAUGCCACAUGUCAUGAUGCACGAAUGUUGUGAUAUACGCAUCAGCUGUAGUAACAUAUGACUCAAAUAUUGCUACAUAAAAUCAUCUGUAGCAACAUAUGCAACAAAUAUUGUUACAUAUAAUUAUCUCUAUCAACAUCUGACUCAAAUAUUGUGAUAUACAAAUCAUAUGUAGCGAUAUAUGUCAAAUGUUGUGAUAAAUAAAUUGAUAAAAUAAACAUUGUAUUUAAUUACAUUGUUUUUAAGAUUAAAUAAAAUAACAUAUUCGAUAAAUUAAACGUUAUCUUUUAGUACAAUCAUAAUGACAAGGCUUUAAGCACUGAGAUAUUAUCCCAUUAGCCCAAAUAUAUUGCAUCCGUUCAAUUAGAUUUUCACAUAACAGUGAACUGAGUGGAUGCAAUUCUAUCCGACUAAUCAAAUGCCCAAUGUAUGCAAUAGAAUAUGACCUGCACGCUGCUCCACUUGCAUUUUGUACCAUAGGUUCUAUUCGACCGUUAAAUUCCAAUGGUUGAGUGAGCAACUUCUCUAGCAAAUGAUUCAUUAUUCCACUCUGUUUCAGCAAUUUAGGCAGCAACUCGAAGACACGUUGUAUGAGUGUGAAAAACAUGUCAUUUUUCGUAACCACCAGGUUGCACUCAUAAACAUUGAUCAAUCCCUCGUGCAAGAGAAUCUCGACAGUCACGAAAUGAUUACCAGAAAUGUUCAUGACUGUCAAAAUACUUUUUGCAUCAAUUCAAUCCAUGCCUCCAGGAGUUGUCCUACUACCCUGACAUAGUCAAUCAUAUCAUCAUCCCAUACAAAGUCAUCUAGUAACUGACUCAUGCUUUUACCACCUGACAUUGUUGCAUCAUCGCCCAUUCGAUUAUAUCUAUGUAGGAAGUUCAUACAUAAAUUGAGAUCCAGGAUUCUAUCUCUGGGAUCAUAGUAGUCUGGGUAUUUCCAAUGCCUUUGACUCAUGAGGUUAAGGAUUUCGUGAAUAUAAUAAAAUAAAAAAUAUCUACCCACCAAGCUGUUAGGCUUUUCAUGUUCCUGAAAUCUUGACCGGUAAAAAUAUGCAUGCCAUAUUCCAUUCAAAUAUCCUUUGCACCGGUCACCUUAACUACUGCUUCUUUUUCAGCUACACAGGGAUGCCUAUAAAUAUUCAACUUUUUAUACUCCGUCACCUCUUCCUCCAUUACGGCCCUUGGAAUUUCUCCAAACAUCUUCCUCUUUAAAUUUUGCAUUGCCUUGGAAAAUGAUUCUUUUCUCCGCUUGGCCUUUGGAGUACAUGCAUGCCGCACAUUCUUUGAUACAAUGCCUUUCACACCCCUCGUGUUUUUAAAUUCAUUGACAACUUCACUCAAUUUUUGUAGAUAAGUGCUAGACUUUUAUCAAGUUUCUUACACUUCUCACAGAGAAAGCCACAACAUCGUCUACAAGAUGUAGCCCCUUCUUGUUGUCCUGUACCAGCACCAACACCAGCACAAUAAUCAACAUCAACACCAUCAUCAACAUCAAAAACAACUAAUUUAUUACGUACUUCAAUAGGAACUCUCUCUCUUUUGAUGAUUGUUGCUCCAACCAACACCAUUUUAACUCUAUCCACAACAGGAUCAAAAAUGGUUUCAACCAACCCUAGACUUAUUAGAUAUGACAUUUGCAAUUCCUCUUCUGUUAGGGUAAUCCAUGGAUAGACAACCUAAAAUAGUAAAAAUGAGUCAUCAGCAAGAAUUUUUUGUUGCUACAGAUGAAUCUUCUGUCACAACAUGUGUCACAAAUAUUGCUACAGAUGAAUCAUAUGUAGCAACAUGUGUCACAUGUUGCGACACAUGACUCGUCUUUAGCAACAUGUGGCACAAAUGUUGCUAUAAACGAAUCAUGUGUUCCAACAUGUGCCACAAAUUUUGCUACAAAUGAAUUGUCUAUCGCAACAUGUGUCACAAAUGUUGCUACAAAUGAAUUAUCUAUAGCAACAUGUGUAACAUGUCACAACAUAUGACUCGUCUGUCGCAACACGUGUCACAAAUGUUGCUAUAAAUGUUGCUAAAUAUGAAUUGUCUGUGGCGACAUGUGUCACGAAUGUUUCUACAGAUGAAUCAUCUGUAGCAACAUUUGUGGCACAUGUCGCAAAGCGUGAUUAGUCUGUACCAACAUUUGUGUCACGUGUUGCUAUAGAUGAGUCAUGUGUCGCAACAUAUGACACAUGUUGCUACAGAUGAUUCAUCUAUAGUAACAUUUGUGACACAUGUUGCGACAGACAAUUCAUCUGUGGAAAAAAAUGAAUUAUUUGUAGCAACAUGUGACACAAAUGUACAUUCACCCAUGAUUUUUUGUGGUAAUCUGCAAAAAGUGGAAACACAAUUGAGGGGAGAAUGUGGAAUUUGAAAUUCAACUUAGAAGCGGAAGAAUGAUUUUUGGAGAAGAUAUGGAUGAAGAUAGGAGAGAUAAAAAAAAUUCUGUAGAAAAUUUUAUAUUUAUUGAACUUCAGUAAUUAUGACAAAAAUUUGAAAACUAUAUUUACUGUCACUAAAUAAAUCAAACUAUACCCUUAUUAACUAAUAACUAAGGAUGUUUGUCAUCUCGUAUAUUUUUUCCUUUUUAUUUUUGUUGUCUCCACACCUUCUUUCCCGAGAUUUAGUUUUACAUUUUUACAAACAUAUUAUUUAUUUAUUUAAAUGCAUGAGGUGCAUGAUAGACCUCAAAUCAGGGGCGGAUCCACAUGUAAUGGUGGGGGUGCACGUGCACCAGCUAACUUCGGAAAAAAUUACGUGUGUGUGUGUAACUAUAUAUAUAUAUAUAUAUAUAUUGAGAAAUUGGUAGAGAAACACUAUCACACUUGAUAACCAUUGAACUAUUUUUGGUCUGUUGGUAGAAGUGGAGAAAUACCUCCUUGAAAACCUAGGUUUGAUCCAAGCCAACAACACUCUUUUUUUUUAUUACAAAAUUUCGCUUCGCUUAUGCUUAAAUAUUAUUGGUGCACCCAGACUUCUUAAAUCGUGGGUUUGCCUCUGCCUCAAAUUAGUUGAUAAACAAACACAAAAUGCAUCAAAAAGACAUUAGUUGAUAACGAACACAAAAUGCAUGUAGAAAUCAAGAACAAAUGCUAACAAACAUGAAACAAUCUAAUUCACACCAAUUUUCAAUAUUCAAUAGAAACUAUAAACAUAAAAAGUUCAUUUGCCAAAACUUUCACAAACAAAUCACUUUUUAACCCUCCUCAAAAGAGAAGUAGAUCAGGAACAACGUAAAUGAAUAAAAAAAUAGAGAGAUAUUCAGCGAGCAAAGAAGAAAAACCUUGUAGAAAUUAAGAGCAAUUUAAGAAAAUUAAAGAUUCUUCCUUCAUAGUUCCCAUUUCUAAAUAAGAGUAAUAAUAUGCAUUUCAUAAGUGUUCCUUUUUGUUGUUUGGUUUUACUUUUGGAGUAUGUUUUUAAAAUUUGUAAAUAGUAAAGUAAAUAGUAAAUCACUAUAGCCUAAAUUAGUUGCUAUAAAUUCUUCAUCUACUCUCUCCUUCUCUUUAAUACAAAUCCAUUAAGCAAUUUGUAAAUCUAUUAACUUCAAAAGACAUAUUUUUAAAUUUUAAUUAAUUUUAUCAAGUACAAUUAAUAAUUAGAUACACAAAUUAUAACUUUUUUUAUUGGUAUUCUGAUAAUUAAAUUUUGAAUAACAUAUAUUUAUUUAUAAACAAAUUAGUUGAUUAAUAAAAACAUAAUUAACUUUUAAUAGAUUACUUAACUCAUUCAUAGACGUUUGAAACUUGUGGGAUGUUUGACGUAUAAAAAAUUGAUACUGUCAAAAUUGAAAAUUACUUGAAAUUUUCAUAUUAAUUGUGUAAGUAGAAUCAUGAAAUAUUUUUAUCUAAAUUUAUAUAUAUGAUUAUCAUUUCUUAAAUUUAGUGAAUUUGAAAUUAUAUACCAAAGUAAUUAAUAGUAUUAAUUACUAUUAAUACCAAUAAAUACUACUUUUAUGCUUGCAUUGAUUUUUUUUCUCAUAAAUUUAUUUAAUUUAAAUUUAAAAAUGAGAUUAAAAAACAAUAUUUUUUAUGGGAAAAGGGUCUAAUAUACCCCUCAACUAUGUCAUUUGGAGCUGAUAUACCCCUCGUUAUAAAAGUGACUCAUAUAUGCCCUUACCGUCAUACAAACUGCUCACAUAUACCCCUGUCGUUACAAAAUGACUCACAUAUACCCUUCAUUUAACGGAUUUUAAAAAAUUAGUUUUAAAUUUAUAUUUAUUACUUCUAUUUUUUUAAAAAAUUAUAUAAGGGUAUAUAUGAUUCUUCUAUCAAAGUUCAAGGUAUAUUUUAAAUUUUUUCAUACAUAAAUUAUUUUUUGACUUCUUUUAUUAUAAUUAUCUGAAUUUCUUAUUCUUAUUUUGUUUUUUCUUUCAUUCCUUAGUUUAAAGAAUAAAAAAUUAAACUAUUUUUUUGUGUGUAUUGUAAUUUAAUUUUGUAUUCGAAGAAAAAAUUUGAUCAUCUACAAUAAGUUUUACAAGAAUAUUAGUGAAACAUAAAUAAAUUUGAUUAUCAAUACAAUAAUUAUAAAUUAGUCAUUGAAACAAAAAAAAAGUCAAAAAAAUAUGUUUGACGAGGAUUAAUUUACUCAUAUGAGAUUAUAUUUUUUAGAAAAAAAUAAUAAAAAUUUAGAUUAAAAUUAUUAUUUUUUCAUUUCCGUUAGAGGAAAAGGAUAUAUGUGAGCCAUUUGUUUACAAGUAGCGGUAUAUAUGAGCCACUUUCAUAACAAGGGGUAUAUCAGCUCUAAAUGACAGAGUUAAAGGGUAUAUCAGACCAUUUUCCCUUUUUUUAUUGAAUAGUAAGUGUCAAGAAAGAUCAUUAUGAAGGGAAGACUUGACUUUUCUUAGUGACAGAGCACAUUUUACGAAGGGUGUGCAAAAUUAUAAAAAAUAACCAACAAAGAAUUUAAUGAGUGGAUUUAUAUUCAUCUUGCUCAACCUAGUUAUUUUACCAUAAAAAAUAUAAAUAAUUCUUUUUAAAUACAAUUUGUCUAAUUCUUUUAUCUUGAAUUUGAGAUCUCACUUAUAAAAAGAAAAUUCUUAAAUUUUUGUUGCGUUUAGUUAUAAAAAUGCAUGGUAAAUUUUAUAAAUUAACAUAAUCAUUUUAAAAAAAAUGAGUCAAGAUUUUUACUGAACACAUAUUGCAUCUUCAAGAAAAAAUAACACCAAUUUAUAGUUUUUACUUGAAUCAAAAGUUAUUUUCAAUCUCUGAUUUUGUUACUUAAUUUAAAUGGAUGUUAGGUUUCUCAUUUUUCGAUAGAGAAUGUGCGAAAUCAUGAUGAUAAAAACUCAAAUCUUCGCUAAUUCUCUUGACUCACUUAUAAAAUCAUGAAAGACAUUUACCUACAAUUUUUAUAAAAAAAAAACAACGUUAAGUCAAACCUCCCAAUAACCUUCCAAUUAGGAAAGAAUGGAAAAUAUAGUGGUAUAUAUAGGUAAACAUGAGAAAUCUAGAAGAAAUAAAUUUUAACUUUCAUUGAUAAUGGUCUCACAAUUAACUUGACUUGAUAAGAAGUACAAGAAAAUUCACCAUUGAAAAGAACUUUUGAGAUUCUUUAAUGGAUAUCAAAUUGAAUCUCAAUAAUAUAUCUCAUUAUUAUAAAUCCAAGAUGCCCCAAAUGAUCAGAAUAUCAAAAUUAGUAAACUUCUGAUAUACUAUAGAAUUAGGGAACUUUUCAGUAACAUAUGUAUGUCCAAAGACAUUCUUGGUGAUAUCACGUCCGCGAUCAAAGGUUACAGACCCUUUCCACACAUAGCGUGGUGGGCAUACACCUCAUUCAAUACAAAGAAUAGAUUUGUAUUUUUAGCAUUAUUCAAAAGUUUUCAUUUCUCAUGAAUGGAAUACAAUCAUUUGAGCGUGCAUAUCAAUUUUUUUUAUGAUAGCUUAGUACUCGAUUCCACAUUUAUGUGUAUCUAUCAAUGUUCUAAUAUUCAUGAAUGGAAGACAAUCAUCUGAGCAUAUCAAAUUAUGAUAGCUUAGUACCUCAUUCAAUAUUCAUGUGGAUCAUUAGACCACUUGUCCUCUUUCAGACAUGCACUACUACUACAUUCACUUUUAGGGAAUAAAGCGAUUUCAAUGAGACGUGUUUCGUGACUAGAUUUCACCAAAAAUAUACUAUUUAGUCGUAGCCAUCAUUAUAUCAUCAAUAUGGUGCAUGUAUUCAAAUUCAAACUCAAUGUCUUAUCCAUAAAAACAUCUGAGAUCAUGAAUCCGUGAGACUUAAAUCCAAUAUGUUAUCAUCAUGAUGCACCGAGACUUUAACCUGAUGUCUUACCCCUUUUUAAUGGUAUAACUUAAAUCCAUCAUCUUACCGUCAAUCAAUAAAAGCUAAUUCUUGAGCCUUUAAACUAUCUAUACUACCAUCAGUUAUUAACUUUAACAUGGAUAAAUAAUGUGCAUCUUGUAUUGAAUAAAUAGGUUUUAAAAUGGGUUAAGACCUUCCAUAUAUCAUAAAAUACUUUAGCAUGAAAAUCUUUAUCGAAGCAUAACAAUUUCAUCCCUCUCUCUAUAUAUGCAUAAAAAAUGGUCCUCAAAAUAUGCAUCUUACUUAUGCUGAUGAUAUAGUUAUAUUUAGUAGCGGCAAUACUAAUUCUAUUAAGGGUUUGUUUAGUAUGAAGGAAAAUGUUUUCCUUGAAUACAUGUAGAUAUUUGACUUAUUUUUUCAUGUUUGAUUGGUGAGCAAAAAAAAUUUUUGGAAAAAUAUUAGUGUUUGAUUUUUGAAUGAAAAAUAUUUUUGAGAAAUAUCUUUUACUUUUGACAAGAGUAGAAAAUAUUUUUUGAAGUUGAAUUAUUCUUUAAAAACAAGUUUAAUUUUUUUUUUGUGGUGGUGGUUUGGUGGGGGGGGGGUGUUUGAGGAUAAAGGUGAAAAAUUAAAAUUUAAAGUUGAUUUUUUUUUAAAGGGAAAAGGGUCUGAUAUACCCUUCAACUUUGUCAUUUAGAGCUGAUAUACCCCUUGUUAUGAAAGUGACUCAUAUAUACCCCUACUUGUAAACAAAUGACUCACAUAUACCCUUUUCCUCUAACGAAAAUGAAAAAAUAAUAAUUUUCAAUCUAAAUUUUUAUUAUUUUUUUCUAAAAAAUAUAAUCCCAUAUGAGUAAAUUUAAUCCUCGUCAAACAUAUAUUUUUUUUGACUUUUUUUUGUUUCAAUGACUAAUUUAUAAUUAUUAUUUUGAUAAACAAAUUUAGUUAUGUUUCAUUAAUAUUCUUGUAAAACUUAUUGUAGAUGCCAAAUUUUGUUUUUCGAAUACGAAAUUAAAUUACAAUAAACACAAAAAAAUAGUUUAAUUUUUUUCUUUAAACUAAGGAAUGAAAGAAAAAAAAUAAAAUAAGAAUAAGAACUCAAAUAAUUAUAAUAAAAGAAGUCAAAAAAUAAUUUAUGUAUGAAAAAAAUUAAAAUAUACCUUGAACUUUUAUCGAAGAAUCAUAUAUACCACUAAAUAAUUUUUAAAAAAAUUUAUAAGUAAUAAAUAUAAAUUUAAAACUAAUUAUUUAAAAUUCCUUUAAAUAAAGGGUAUAUGUGAGCCAUUUUGUAACAGCAGGGGUAUAUGUGAGCCGUUUGUAAAAUGGUAAGGGUAUAUAUGAGCCACUUUUAUAAUGAGGGGUGUAUCAGCUCCAAAUGACAAAGUUGAGGGGUAUAUCAGACCCUUUUCCCUCUUUUAAAUAAUAAUAUUACGUUUUUUAAGGGGGUGGGGGUGGGGGUCGUAGGGGGCUAGUGAGGUGGGAGGUCGAGGGUAAGGUGAAAAAAUGAAAGGGCCAAUUACACAACAAGUAACACCAUUGAAUACUCCAAAAAGUACUGGAAGCAAGCAACAACGUCAAGGAAGUGUACAUGGGAAGAUAUGGUGGAGGAAGAUACAUCAAAAGUGAGAUCUAUAGAAAGGCCAAGUGAAGGAGUGACAUGGAGUAGAAUUGUAGGGACAACAUCGCAGAUAGAAGGACUGGAUCUGAGUGGGGAAGUAAACCCUAGUCUCAAUGUUAAGAUAACAAGAGAGGAUAUACAAGAGGAAGUGAAAUAUUGGGAAACAGCUGUGGUUUGUUAUGCAUUAGGAUCGAACCCACCGCCGAUAGUUAUAGAGGGAUAUUUUAGGAGAAUCUGAAAAAAGUUAGGGAUAGAUAAAGUAGCUCAGGUAAAUAGGGGGUGUUUAUGGUGUGUUUCAACAAUGCUGAGAAUAGGGGAAUAGCCGUGGAAGAAGGUGUGCAAAUGUUCGACAAAAAUCCAGUAAUAGUGAAACCAUGGGAACCAGAUAUAGUGGUAACAAAAGAUAAGGUGGAAAAAGUGCCAAUUUGGGUGAGAUUGGUAGGGUUAGAUAUAAAAUAUUGGGGAAAGAAUGCUCUAACAAAGAUAACAGGGUUGAUAGGACAUCCAUUGAAAGUAGACAGAGCAACAACACAAAAAGAUAGAUUAACGUUUGCAAGAGUAUUGAUAGAGAUGCCUCUAAAUAAGGAAUAUCCCAAAGUAAUAAUGUUUGAGAAUGAAAUAAGGAAGAUAGUGCAUCAGCAGGUUGAAUAUGAAUGGAAAACAAUAUUAUGCAAAAAAUGUAAGAAUUUUGGGCAUGAUAUAAGUGAGUAGAGAAAACAAUUAAAGGAGAAUGAGAAGCAACACAAAGGAGAACAAGUGAUAAAUGGAGAAGGACAACAAAGGGUUGAUAAAGUGGAGGAAAUAAGAAAUGCCAGGCAAUCUAGUAGAAUAGAGAUACAAAAGGGGAAGACUCAAAUAAUAAAAACUGAGAAAACUAACUCUUUCAAUGUGUUGAGCGAGAUAGGGCAAGGAAGUAAGGAGAUAAGAGCAGGGAAUAAUGUGAUAGGAAAUGAGAAAAGGAAGGAGAAGGAUGGGGAAGACCAAUCCUGAAUGGAUAGAAUAGGGUUUUGAAACUCUAGGGGAUUAAAUAGAGUUGAUAAACAAAAGGAAAUGUAGGUUUUCCUAUAUACCUCAAAAAUCAUCUUGUUUGGUUUCCUAGAGACUAGGAUUAAGAGAGUGAAAGCAAGUAAUGUGGAUCUUAGUCUAUGUAGGACAUGAUCGUUUACAACUGAGCUAGCAGCUCACUAUGGGGGGGGGGAAUUAGGAUAUUGUGGAAGCCAGAGAUAUACAAUGUGGAUGUGAAGUUAGUAACAUGACAAGUAAUUCACAGUAAAGUAGAAUAUAUGGGAACGAGAAGGGUAUUUGAUAUUACAAUGGUAUGUGGUUUCAAUGACCAAGCAAUGACAAGAACAUUAUGGAGGGACAUAAAAGGGUUAAGAGGGAGCAUCAAUGGGGCUUGGGCUAUAAUGGGAGAUUUUAAUCGCAUGUUGAAUAUGGAUGAAAGGAUAGGACGACCUUUUGAAAUGGCAGAAAUAAGAGAAUUUCGACAAUGUGUGGAGGAAUGUGAAGUUCAGGACCUCAAAUCAUAAGUCUCAUUCUUUACAUGGAAUAAUAAACAAAGAGGGGAAGACAGAGUUUGGAGUAAAAUAGACAGGGCCCUAGUUGAUAGUGAUUGGAUGACCAAUUUACCACGUCUGAAGCACACUUUAUGCAUGAAGAAAAUAUGAUCAUUGUCCUGCAAUCAUAAGCUGGGAAGAGGGGUCUAUAAAUGGGAAGAAGAAAUUUAGGUACUUUAAUAUGUGGAGAAUGGAACCAAAAUAAAAAGAAAAGGUGAAGGCUAGCUGGGGGGGAAAAUAAGAGGAAGGAAUAUGUUUCAACUAGUGGGGAAACUAAAUAGGUUGAAAAAGGUGUUACUGAGUAUAAACAGGGAAAAUUUUGGAGACAUAGAGGGUAAGGCUGAAGAGGCAAAGGAGGAACUGAGGAAAUGUUAGAUGAAAUUGAGCAGAGAUCCAACAGAUAACAAGUUGAUUGAACAAGAACUAGAAAUAUCAAAACAAUAUGGAAAACUAAAAGGGGCCAGGGAUCAAUUCUUGAAACAAAAAGAAAAAAUACAGUGGAUACAAGAAGGUGAUCAAAAUACAAAGUUCUAUCACAACUACAUAAAGACAAGAAGGAACACCAACAUAAUUUUUGGAGGAAAGGAUAAGCAUGGUGAAAGGCAAGAAGGCAUGGAAGAAAUUAGCAAGGCUUUUUUGGAAUACUACAGUGAGCUGCUAGGACAGUCAAACAAGGGAAGAAAGCAUGUGUGCAGGGAGAUAAUUAUGAAAGGAUCACUGGUUAAUAAGGAACAACGAGAACAACUAGCAGCAAAGUUCACAGAGAAGGAGGUAAAGGAAGCUAUGUGGAGCAUUGAUGGGAACAAGUCGCCAGGACCAUAUGAAUAUGGGAGUCCAUUCUUCAAAGAUAAUUGGGAGAUUGUCGGUAAAGAUGUGGUGAAGGGAGUGAUGGAGUUCUUUAGGACUAAAAAGAUGCUUACUGGGAUGAAUGAUACAACAAUUACAUUGAUAGUCAUGCUAAAUCAGUGGGGGAUUACAGACCAAUAUCAUGUUGCAAUACUAUAUACAAGACAAUUUCAAAAAUGUUAUGUAACAGACUGAGGACAGUGCUGCCAGUGAUAAUAUCGAGCAAUCAAAGUGCUUUUGUGGCGGGUAGAUCAAUAGUGCAAAAUGUUUUAAUCUGUCAAGACUUGGUAAGAUUAUAUAAUAGAAAGAAUACUACAAGGAGUUGCUUGAUAAAAAUUGACCUAAGAAAGGCAUAUGACAGUGUUGAAUGGGGUUUUGUGGAAGAAUUUUACAUGCUCUUAAUUUCCCACAUGUGUUCAGAAAAUGAACAAUGGAAUGUGUGAAAACAACAAGAUAUAGCAUUGCACUAAAUAGGGGAAUGUUUGGAAGCAUAGAAGGACAAAGGGGGCUGAGGCAAGGGGAUCCAAUAUCGCCCUUAUUGUUUGUAAUAUGUAUGGAAUAUUUCAGCAGGAUCAUGAUUUGGGUGUCGGAAGAAAAAGGUUUUCCAGUAUCACACAAAAUGCAAAGCAAUGAAGCUGAAUCACUUAUGCUUUGUAGAUGAUAUGCUAAUUUUUAGUAAAGGGGACUACCAAUCGGCAUUGAUGAUGUUGAGAGAUAUCAUUUUCGGGGGCUUCAGAAUUGAUAAAUAAUGCAAUUAAGUCAAACAUAUUUUCAGCAAACAUGGAACAACAAGAAUUGAAUGAUCUCUGUGAGGUGUCUGGAUAUGCAAAACGAAAGCUACCAUUUAGAUAUUUGCGUGUACCCGUUUCAGCAAAAAGAUUAUCGCCAGGAGAUUGUGAGGUACUAGUUGAGAGAAUGGCAAGUAGAGUGAGAGCAUGGGUGCCAAGAAAUCUGUCAUAUGCAGGCGGAGUGCAAUUCGUUAACUCAGUUUUGAUGCAUAUGCACUCAUAUUGGGCAACGAUAUUUAUAUUGCCUAAAAAAGUAUUGAAGGAUAUCACAACAAUUUGCAGGAACUAUAUAUGGAGUGGUAAAGCAACAACAAAUAGACCACCUUUGCCGAAACGAGAAGUUGGGCUGUGUCAAAUGUAACCAAGAAGCAAUUGCAAAAUAUUUUGGAAUGUGGCAGAAAAGGAAGACAAUUUAUGGGUAAAAUGGAUCAAUAACAUAUACAUAAAGAAUGAGGGAUGGUGGCAAUAUAGGCCAAGCAAUGACACAUGCUGGUACUGGAAGAAAAUAUGUGCCAUAAAAGAAAAAUUCAGACAGGGAGUAAAUGGAAAUUGUUGGUUAAAAGAAUCAGGGAAGGUUGACUCUUAUGAAGGAAAGUUUACUUCCACCAAUAACCAUUCAAUUUAAAAAAAAGUUUAUCUCAGAAAUUUAGGCAAUCCUCUGGAACUGGCAUUGAUGUUUCCAUGUUUGGAGAGGCAGAAUUGUGUAAUGCAGAUAUAUAUGAGCUGGCGGUGAAGGCAGAGGCAUUGGAGGAUGGAAAUGUGUCCACAAAUUUCCAGAUUACUCAGGCAGUUUUUGAAAAGGAGAAAGGCAAAUUCAAAAUUAGGGUGGUGAAGCAAGUUAAUGGCAUGCAGUAUGAAUUGCAAGAGAUUUAUGGCAAUGGGAAUUCAGUUGAUAAGGACUUUGAUGGAAAUGAUAAUGGGAAGGAAUGUGUUGUUUGUCUUUCUGAACCUAGAGACACUACUGUACUUCCAUGCCGACACAUGGUAUGUAUUUUGGAGUCGAAUCUUAACACUCUUCUUCAUCUUUUUUGUUUAAAAUGAUUGUAAUGUAUAUGAAAACUAAAUGUGCAUCUUAAAUCCAGUGCAUGUGCAGUGGAUGUGCACAAGUUUUGAGAUUCCAAACAAAUCGUUGUCCUAUUUGUCGUCAGCCAGUUGACCGAUUCUUGGAGAUUAAGGUCAGCGAAGCUGCUGAAGAGUAAGAGUCGCGAUAACCACCAUUAAUGUAUAAAAACAGGGGCGAAGCUAGAUGCCUGAAUACAGGUCUGGCUGAACCUAGUAACUUUUGCUCUACACUACACUCUACAGUUGAAAAUUGUGGCUCCGCCUUGUAUAAACAUAUUCCUUUUUUCCUCAGUAUUAGAAGUGGGUACAAAUGGCUAAGUGGGGCAGGGUCAGAAUGGCCAUGGUAGAGGGGAGUGUGCAGUAGAACUACUAUACCUAAGAAUGGAUUUAUAAGCUGGAUUGCAAUGCAUGGAAGGUUGUUGACAAGGGUGAGGCUGACAAAAAUGAAACAUGAACAAGAAACAGAGCAUCUAUUUUUUGAAUGAUUUUAUGCACAGAAAUGUCUGCUGGAAAUACAACAAUGGUUAGGGGUAACAAAGCAAAAGACAAAUCUGCAAAGAAGUGCAAAAGAGCUUUCCUAUGGGCAGUGCUGGCAGCAGUGAUUUAUGGGAUUUGAAAAGCAAAAAAAUAAAGCAUUGUGGCAGGAAAGAGUACCUCAGCCACACAUAUAGAAUACUAGAAGUACUGAAUAGGAAAAAGAAAUGUAAAGCGAAAAAAUGGAUUGAAAAUAGAAAGUGGUAUGUGGACAUUAACGAUAGGAUUUUAUGUUUGUUUUUUGUUUUUUUUAUUUCUUUUCUGGUUUUGUAUUUCUGAUUUCCUGUUAUGUGUAAGUAAGCAUAGAAGAAUAAUAGAGGGAGAUAGGGGUUUUAUGAAUGAAAUGUGUUUGUUCGACCAAAAAAAACAAGUUGAAAAUAUUUUUAAAAAAAAACUUAAAUUUUUUAGGGGUAGGGGGUUGGUAGUGUGGGUGGGGGGCUAGUAGGGGGUGGGUUGAGGGCUGGUGGAGUUGGUAGGGGGAGGUUGGAAGAGAGUUUUGAAAAAUGUUUUUCUUAAGUUUUGAAAAGUCAUUUUCGUUAAAUUUGAGGAAAAUGAAUUGAUUUGAAAAAUAUUUGAGCCAAACAAACAUAAAAAAAAUUACACACACUAAGUUGAUCAUGAGCAUGCAUAUAAAAAAUUAUGAAAAGAUUUUUGAACAAAAAGUGAACAAGGAUAAAAGCUUCUUUCUCACUGGCCCCAAAACUUGUUCAUAUAGAAUCAGAUCUUCUAGAGGUUUUGAUCUGGAAAGCAUGUUACUUAUCUCGGUUGCCCCAUAAAUGCUUUGAUGGUAUGGUUACUAAGGUGAUUAAAAGAUUAAGUGCUUGGCAAGGUAACAUGGUAAGCAAAUGUUAAUUAAAAGUAUCAUUCAAUCUUUGCCUAUUUAUAUUCUUUCCCCCAAAAGGUACUUUGGAGCUUAUUGAAAAGCAUAUGGCAAGGUAACAUGAUAGGCAAAUGUUUCUCUCGCUUAAAUAUUCCCUAGCAGAAACUCUAAACUCAAAAACUUUCUGGUCUUGAUGACUCUGCAAUAUGGACCUAUUCAGAAGAUGACCAAUACUCUAAUGUUUCUGCCUGGGAGAAUAUUAUAGAGCACAAACAAAGAGAUAGCUUUAUUAAUAAUAUAUGGAACAAUUCUAUUCCUUCUAAAAUGUCUUGCUUAUGCUUGAGGCUAAUUUCCAAAAAACUUCCUUUCGACCUAAAUUUGGAACUCAAGACGAUAUAGAUCAUAUCCUACUCGAUCAUCAGCCUAUUGUCACCCCUAGAACCAGUACUCCUGACCAAGUGUGCCAUAAAAGUUUCAAGGAUUUUUUGCAGCCUAUUUUGAUUCAUUACAACUCUAUCUAUUGUCCAUUCAAGCACUUAAUAAUUGCACCAAGUAUAUAUAGACUCUAUCUAUUCACUCUCUCUUGCAGUCUAGAAAUGACAUUCUCUUUUCCAUAUUAUGAGGUUUACCUCCUCUCCUUUCCAUAGGAUUAGUAAUACAAUCCAAAUUCACCAAUGACCUAAAUGGACUUUUGACCACUUGGUUUAGUCUUGACUUAUAAUCUAAAAGGACAACAUAAAAAUAAGAGUAUUAUAACAUAUAUGAUGUUUCCAACAUACAAUUUAUUUCUAACAUCCACAGGUGCUUGUUCUUAUUCAUUUGAACUUAUAUAUCCAUAGGCCACCACACAAACAUUUAAGAUGACAUGUUGCAUACUGAAAUAAGCAUAUGAAAAGCUAAAAUAACAUGAGUUUAUGCUCUUUUAAAUGUAUCAAAGAUAAAGGAACUAGGUUUUAAAAGUUUUUCUUUGUCUUUAAUUGAUCAAUCGAAAUUUUGAAAGUCUUCACCAUUAAAAGCUUCAGUGAAGAAAACAUCAUCCCAAUCUCAUGCAUCAUUCUCAUUUCUUGUGUCAGCAAAGUAUUCAUUGCUUCCCAUUGUAUUCUCCUAAUCAUUGUGAUAAAACAUUUAAAGUGAGUAUUUGAGUGAAUAAUAUAAUAAAAAAUGAAGUUAUAAGCAAAUAAAUUUAAUUAGUUGAUAGUAAUAAGAAUAUAGCUUUGAACUAACCUCCCUAGGAUAGUUAAAUCCAUGAAUAUUAGGAGUUAUUGCAUCACUUUGAAAUAAAGAAUGCUCAUUUUGUUGAAUGAUGUGAUUGAUUUUGUUGUUAUUGCUCAAGUUGAUAUUCGAAUUUGAAUAGGCAUACUCCAACCCCAAUUCUGAGGGAUUGUUCAAGUGUGUACCCAUAGUUGCUAGUGGACUCGAGACAGGCCUGAGAGAGAGCGAGAGAGAAAUAUUAGGAAUCAUAUCAUGUUAAACAGAAAAAACACCAACAUAAAUAUUUCAUCUUGUGUAGAGUUUGGGUGCAUAAUAAUCAUUUCUUUUUCAAAUUAAAACAAAUAACAUAUUAUUGGAGAACAAUAACUAAAUGCAUAAAUAUCGAAAGAAACCUUGUAGAAGCAUAAAUAUUUUUCCAGAAGUUCAUGAGAGAGUUGUUACUACUUUCAUCAAAAGUCAAUUGUGCCUGAAAAAUAUAUGACUUAACUAGUUUAGUACAGGGGGAUGUAGGAUCUAACAAAGAAUAACAUUUCAAGAAUAUUAGUUUACAUGUGAUUUUCCAAAUAUUUGUGUUGGACUCUGCUGGAUAUCUACCAUCAUGUUUUGUUGUGGACUCUGUUGAGUGGAUAAAAUAAUUAUAUCAAAACUCAAAAAGAAAUAUUUCAUUUCUUUAAGGAGAUCUUAAUAAGAAAUAAUAUUUCAAGAAUAUUAAUAUACCUGUGACUGUCCAAAUUUUGAUGGUGGAUUUUGUAGGACAUCUACAGCGGUGUUUAGUUGAUAGCUCUAUUGUACAGAUAAAAAUAACAAUAAUUAAAAAUCUCAUUAUAAGGAUAUCUUAGUUACUGCAUUUUGAAAAAGUGUUACCUGCAAUGGAAUAUAAGGCGAUGAGUUUUGAUUUUGAGAAAAUGGUAUAUUCCCACUCUGUGAAGAACUUGCAAAGGAAGGGGUAUAUGUGUAAUGGCUAGAACUGUUUGCUACUCUCUUUCCUUUGUCCAUCCAGUUUUGAUACAUACUCUCCUGGAUACUUGGACUAUAAUAAUAAUGAAAUAAUAAUUAAACAAAAAGGGAAAAGGAGAGGGACUUCUUGUAAAGAAAUAUCAUGUGAAAAUAUUAAUAACCUGUACGUAUCAAUCCAAUUAUUAGUAGUAAACUGAUGAUGAGUUAUUUGUUGUGCUGCAAAGUGAACAUCCACAUUUCCUUGUUUCUCCAAUUCCACCUAAUCAUAAUUUUCUUGACAUUAGUUAGGGUUUUACAUUAUUUCUUAAAAAUUGUAAAUUCACAUUAUUCUUCAAUGAUUAAUGAAACAGAAAAUUGGUAAAAGAACAAACUUUUCUAUCCCUGAUUUUUUGGAGAGAUAGUUGCAAGUUCUUUUCGCACCAACAAAGCUGAUGAAGAGGAACCUCUUCUUCUGGCCCUGGUUCGUAAUCCCUGCAAGAUCGUGUUGUUAGGCAAAAAUAUCGAUUUUAAUUUAUUAGUAUAUUACAUUUAGACAAUUGAAAUAGACUAUACUCUAAAUAUCUAAAUAAAAAUUUAAGGUGACGUCAAUGUAUUCAAUCACGAUGUUAUAAUUUUAGAACUACAAAGAAAAACACUUGUGAUACUAAAUCAAAUGACCUUAUAUGAGCAUCCACAAUUUGCAAUUCCAAUGUGCUCUUCAUUAUUUGUAGCUCCAAAUUCUAUAUCAAAGAAUUUCACAAUCAAAAUGAUGUUAUCAACUUCCCUCAUAGAUACAUAAUGAUUAAUUGAUAUUUAUUUCAAUGUCCCACUUAACUAACAAACUACUAACUAAAAUAGUAUUGAAAAUAUAAAAAGAACUUAUAAGAGAGGUAUCAAAUUAAAUUAUGCUCACCUCAAUCCUGUAGAGAUUAAGAUACCAAUAGCAGGUUGAAACAUCCAAAGGCAACCAUCAUGAGACAAUGUAAUUCAUCAGUGAGAGUCAAUUUCACUUUAUACAAAAGAAAUCAAAUAUGAUGAAGGAACUAGGUAGUAUCUAACAUUUCAAUGAAUUAAUAUUUUACAAUGCUAAUAUAACUCUACUUCCGUGAGCUUGCUCAUAUUGUCAGUCUCAACCUCGGAUAACGAAGAAGGUGAUUUGUCAAUCAGAAACAACUUAUGUACCCUAUAUAUAAAGGUAGGAGUAAGGUUACAUACUUAGUCUCCAAGACCCUACACAUGGGAAUACACUGAUGGCGAUGGCGAUGGUAGUGGUGGUUUAACACUUAUAUAUAUGGUCUUGUAAGUAAAGUAAGGCUAAAGGACACUAUUCUAAAGUACAUGUUUUUGGAAAUAGCAUUGAACAAAAUAAAACUAGAGAGAGACAAUAAAUUAGUCAAAGGAAGACAUGAGAAAGAAAAGAGAUACAAACUGCUUAUCAAGAAAGUAUCUCUUGCUAAUAUCUCCGCUGAUAUUGUUCAAUUGCCUUAGUUUUGCCACUUUUUCCUUCAUUUAUACAACAAAAAAUAUAUAUUAAUAAAUGGUGGUAAAAUUAUAUUUAUCAAAACUUUAUCAAUAACACGGUUUUUGACAUGAGUCAAACUUAUUGUCUUGAACAAAUUAUAUCUAGUUUAAAAAUCAUUUAGUAUUUCCUUAAUUUUGAGGAUAUUAGUUUCAAAAUUUUAAUUAUUACUCACUCCAUUUUCAUUUGUUUGUUUAAUUUUUUUUCUUUCGACAAUUUUAUAAAGUAAUAUUUUUGUAUUUCAUGAUCUUAGGCUAAAGAUGUGUGGAAAUUAAAAGGUAUGAGUAAUCAUUUAAUUUUGUGGUAAGAACUAUGUGAUAUUAAAAAUUUAAACUAAAGUGUAGCCAAAAAAGAUUCAAAAUAAUUUUGAUGAAGGAUUGAAUGUCCUACUCGAUAAUUAAUGUUCUCCGACAAGGUAAUUCUCCUCUCUUUGAAAUAGGGUAUGACUUAGAUUCAAGACCUAAUUAACUUGAUAUGAUAUUAGAUUCAAUACAUAAGAGGGCCCUAAGAAAUGUGGCAGUUGCGCGGGUGGAACUACCCUUGGUUUGUAUUUAAAGUGGGGGCAACAAAUGGAAUUACAGAUUAAAAAAUAUGUCUGGAUAAGGGGGAUAUGUGUGUGAUAAAUGGAAUACUGGAUACAAAAUGUUUGGAUCUGGGUAUGAUUUUUGUGUGUAAGGAGUGAAAUUGUGCUUGGACAAUGGGGGAUGUGUGUGUGAUAAAUAAAAUACUGGAUACAAAAUGUUUGGAUCGGGGUAUGGUGUAUGUGUGUAAGGUGUGAAAUUGUGCUUGGACAAUGGGGGAUGUGUGUGUGAUAAAUGGAAUACUGGAUACAAAAUGUUUCGAUCUGCGUAUGGUGUAUGUGUGUAAGGAGUGAAAGUUUGCUUGGACAAUGUGGGAUGAAUGUGUGAUAAAUACAAUACUGGAUACAAAAUGUUUGGAUCAGGGUAUGGUGUAUGUGUGUAAGGAGUGAAACUUUUCUUGGAAAAAGGGAAUGUGUGUGUGAUAAAUGGAAUACUGGAUACAAAUGUUUGGAUCUGUGUAUGGUGUAUGUGUGUAAGGAGUGAAAUUUUGCUUGGACAAUGGGGGAUGUAUGUGUGAUAAAUGGAAUACUAGAUACAAAAUGUUUUGAUCUGGGUAUGGUGUAUGUGUGUAAGGAGUGAAAUUGUGCUUGGACAAUGGGGGAUGUGUGUGUGAUAAAUGGAAUACUGGAUACAAAAUGUUUGGAUCUGGGUAUGGUAUGUGUGUGUAAGGAGUGAAAUUGUGCUUAGACAAUGGGGGAUGUGUGUGUGAUUAAUGGAAUAUUGGAUACAAAAUGUUUGGAUUUGGGUAUGGUGUAUGUGUAAGGAGUGAAAUUGUGCUUGGACAAUGGGGGAUGUGUGUGUGACAAAUGGAAUAAUGGAUACAAAAUGUUUGGAUCUGGGUAUGGUGUAAGUGUGUAAGGAGUGAAAUUGUGUUUGGACAAUGGGGGAUGUGUGUGUGAUAAAUGGAAUACUGGAUACAAAAAGUUUUGAUCUGGGUAUGGUGUAUGUGUGUAAGGAGUGAAAUUGUGCUUAGACAAUCUUUUUUCCUUUGAGUUAGCUUUUGGUAUAUGAAUUAAGCUCAAGACCUAACUUGACACAUUUUGUUAAACAAACUAAAACAAAUUAGGGAUAACAAAUAAAAAUGAAGCGACUACUAAUUUUCAAUUCAAAGUUUAGUUCAUUUCAUAUUCUUUUGUAGAUUAGACUAAUUGAUUCACAUUCAUAAAAACAAGAUAUAAGGUUAGAAAAUUCCUACAAAUAUAGAUCGAUAAUAAAUAUGUAAAAGAGUAAAGUACCUCAACAUCGACCAUAUGACUAUCCCAACAAAAAAAAGAAACUCAUAAGUUAGUGUUAUAGUAUAUAAGUUACUAAUAGCUAAAUUACAAAAAAAAAAAAUCAAUAGAAGAAAUUUAGGGCUAGUUCACAUACGUCAAUUUUCUCUCAAUCGGAAGCUCAAUGUAGCGUUGAAGAAUGUCUUCAAUUCUACAAAAGUAGAAAUUUAGUAAAAAUAAUUAAUCUAGCUAAUCCUUUAUACAGAUCAAUAACAAGCACAACGUAACAGAAUUUUUUUCGAUAUCGUAAAUGCAAUACCUAUUUUUGCUACAAAAUUUACUAAGACGUUGAGCAGGGGAGAACGUGACCAACAACACAUCCACAUCACUGGAAAUUGCAAUCUCUUUCGCCUUCUUUAGUAAAGUACUACGUCGCUUUGAAAAUGUGACUUGACGCUUUGACGUUUCUUCAAUUUUCUUAAUCUCAAUUUUUCUACCCAUCUUGAAGGUCUUUCAAGAAAGUCUCUUCCGUCUCUUGGAAAGACCAAUAGCUUAGAGUGUUGCGUGAAGUAUACGAAUAAUACAAUGACUGAAAAAGAAGGCUCCAAAAUAGCUAAUUUAUACGGUCAAAAAAGCUAUUAGUCAAAGAUAUAAUAAAUAAAAAGUUGGUCAACCCCAUACAAACAUGGCAUAUAUAUAUAUAUAUAUAUAUGCCAUGUUUGUAUGGGGUUGACCAACUUUUUAUUUAUUAUAUCUUUGACUAAUAGCUUUUUUGACCUUAUAAAUUAGCUAUGAGAAAAGAAUUUGAUAUACACCUCAACUUUGUCAUUUGGAACUGAUAUACCCCUCGUUAUAAAAGUGGCUCAUAUAUGCCCUUACCAUUAUAAAACGGCUCACAUAUACCCCUGCCGUUACAAAAUGGCUCACAUAUACCCUUCAUUAAACGGAUUUUAAAAAAUUUGUUUUUAAAUUUAUAUUUAUUACUUCUAAUUUUUUUUAAAAAAAUUAUUUAGGGGUAUAUAUGAUUCUUCUAUCAAAGUUCAAGGUAUAUUUUAAUUUUUUUUUCAUACAUAAAUUAUUUUUUGACUCCUUUUAUUAUAAUUAUUUGAAUUUCUUAUUCUUAUUUUAUUUUUUUCUUUCAUUCCUUAGUUUAAAGAAUAAAAAAUUAAACUAUUCUUUUUGUGUGUAUUGUUAUUUAAUUUUGUAUUCGAAGAAAAAAUUUGAUCAUCUACGAUAAGUUUUACAAGAAUAUUAGUGAAACAUAAAUAAAUUUGAUUAUCAAAAUAAUAAUUAUAAAUUAGUCAUUGAAACAAAAAAAAUCAAAAAAAAAUGUUUGACGAGGAUUAAAUUUGCUCAUAUGGGACUAUAUUUUGUAGAAAAUAAUAAUAAAAAAUUAGAUUAAAAUUAUUAUUUUUUUCAUUUUCCGUUAGAAGAAAAAGGUAUAUGUGAGUCAUUUGUUUACAAGUAGGGGUAUAUAUGAGCCACUUUUAUAACAAAGGGUAUAUCAGCUCUAAAUGACAAAGUUGAGGGGUAUAUCAGACCCUUUUCCCAUUAGCUAUUUUCGAGCCUUCUUUUUCAGUCAUUUUAUUAUUCGUAUACAUCACGCAGCACUCUGGAUUAAAAAUGUACUUAAAAGGAACAUUAUAACUCAAAAUCACACAAAUAAUUAAGAAAUAAAAUCAAAUAUAGUGAAUAAAAUUUUGUCAUUAUUAUUAAAAAUCAAAAUCAUGUAAGUAUUGAUAAGUGAAAACACACUCUUAAACAAUAAGGUCAAGGAAAGACAAAUACAUUAUAAAUGAUCAUUGAAAUUAACAAUAACAAAAAGGAUAUGAUAAAGUAGAAGAUGACAACCUCAAGUUACAUUGGAAGAAAAUUGAAAGUGAUCUACCAAGAGAUUUUACAUUGUACAUAUCCGUAUAUAUAAAUUAUUAUACUCACCUCAGAUUUUUCUUUCAUAAUUUGACUUUUGUAACUAAUAGUCUCAUAAAAGAAUAUAUAAUACUAAUAAGUGUUAGGAUUGAAAAUAAAUAGGUGUACUGCGAAAGCUAGCAAAACAAACCUCAAAAGACCAUAAUUGCAACUCUCAAAACCCUAGGACUACAUUGUGAAUGUUGAUUAAGUUAGAAGGAACAAGUAUCUAUUUACAAAGUCCUAAGCCUUUUCCUACAAGAAAAAAGACUAGUAAAUCCAAAAUAUUUUGCUAAAAGAAAAAUUUAUAUGUGAUAUGAAACUCGGAGAAAAUAAUACCCAACAAAAUCUCUCUCUUGACCUGAAUUUCUGGUAAAAUAAUUUUAUCCAUCUUCUUCACAUAAUCUUCAAUGUUUGUUUAUCCUCUCCAUAAUAUCCUCCAGCAAAUCUAUGUCUCCACACAAAUAAUUUCUCAAACAAAAAUCUUCAUUACUGUCAAAAAGGUUGCGGCUAAAACUACACUCGCCAAGAUGAACACCCAUUUCUAACCUGGUGGCUCCAUCAUUGAUUUAUGGAUCUAAUACCACUUGUUAUGACUUAAAUAAGCAGGUGUAAUGCAGAAGCAAGCAAAACAAACCUCAAAAAACCAAGAGUAAGAAGGCAAACGAGAAACACACCAAAAGACACAAAGAUUUAACAUGGUUCAGUCAAACAACCUACGUCCACAAAGGAGAUGAGAAAUCCACUAAAAAUAUGAGACUACAAAACAUAGAGAGAAACAACUUCAACCAAUUCACUCAGAAUACAGGAGGUACACACAAUUCUGCCCCAUAAUCGAACUCUCAAAAUAGUAGGACUACAUUGUGAAUGCUAGUUAAGUUAGAAGGAACAAGCAUAUAUCCAUAGAGUACUAAAACCUUUCAUACAAGAAAAGGAGUAUUUAAUAUAUUAAAACUUUUCCUGUCACGACCCAAAUCGGGCCGCGACUGGCACCCACACUUACCCUCUUGUGUUAGCGAACCAACCAUUCUAAACCUUAACAUUUCAAUAUAAUAUCAACAGAAAGUAAUGCGGAAGACUUAAACUCAUUAAUAAAAUCAAUAACUAUUAUUAUCCCCAAAAUCUGGAAGUCAUCAUUACAAGAACAUCUAUGAUCAAAGUACUAAACUAAGAGUAUUCUAAAAAGCUAAAACAAGUAAAAGCUAGUCCAUGCCGGAACUUCAAGGCAUCAAGACAUGAAGAGGAAGAUCCAGUCCAAGCUAGAAGCAUUAGCUCACCCUGAUAUCCGGAAUAAUGAAGACUGGCUAGAGUUGCGGUUGAGUUGAAGACGAUGGCACGUUUGCUGCACUCCACAAAUAACAAAGAAGAAAACAUAAAAGUAGGGGGUCAGUACAAACACAAGUACUGAGUAGGUAUCAUCGGCCAACUCAAAAUAGAAAACAGUAUAUACCAAGUAAUAUCAUAAAAUCAACUAUGAUACUCAACAUGUAGUAUUUACAAUUACCAUAAUCCUUGGUUACAACACCAAGCUCAUCAAUGAGGACUCACGCCUCCUCAUCAUACUCAUUUGGGAUUUAGGUUCAUUAGAUUGAGUAUAUUAACAUCUUUCAAGAUUCAUUAUUUUUAUUCCUCUCGUGUCAGUACGUGACACUCCGCUCCUCAAUAUACUAUCCUGGUGUCAGAACGUGACACUCUGAUCCUCAAUCUAUCCUGGUACCGGAACGUGGCACCCGAUCCAUAUUCUACCCUGGUGUCGGAACGUGACACUCCGAUCCUCAUUCUAUCCUGGUGUCGGAACGUGACACUCCGAUCCUCAUUCUAUCCUGGUGUCGGAACGUGACACUCCGAUCCUCAUUCUAUCCUGGUACCGGAACGUGGCACCCGAUCCAUAUUCUAUCCUGGUGUCGGAACGUGACACUCCGAUCAUCAUUCUAUCCUGGUGUCGGAACGUGACACUCCGAUCCUCAUUCUAUCCUGGUAUCGGAACGUGGCACCCGAUCCCCUAAUCUCCUUCUAUCAAUUCAUCAAGCCUUCUUUCUUACCAAGGCAUCAUCAAUCACAGUAUUUUAGUUCAUCACGCCUUCUUUUAUACCAAGGCCUCAUCAUUAACAAAGAGAUUAGGUUUUUUCAAGAUUUAGGAUUCAAUAACUUCAUCAUGCUUAUAUAAUCACAAUUAUAUAAUUACAUUCAUGCAAGCAUACAAUUAAGCAAAUAGCAGGGUUUACAAUAUUAUCAAUACAUAUCAUUCGCUAUUAAGAGUUUGCUACGAAUAUCGUAAGAGAAACCAUAACCUACCUCCACCGAAGACUAGUGAUCAAGCAAGCAAAUUCCCAAAGCUUUGUUCUUCUUCUCUCCCUGUUCGUUCAUUUUCUCCCUCUCUUGUGCUUUUAAAUUUUCUUAUUCAAACCCUCUUUAUUUUACCCUAAUUAGCAUAUAAUUAAGAAUAAAAGGUGGCAAUAAUAACCCACUAAUUAACUGAAGGUUACCUCUUUUAACCCCCAAGAAAUUUAGUUAUUAAUAUAAACCCACGAAAUAUAUAAUUAUAGCAGGAAUAGUCCAAAAUGCCCCUUUAAAACUUAACCAGAAAUCCGACUCCGACUGGGAUUACGCAACCUGUGACGGCCCAUCGCGCCUGCGACGGUCCGUCAUGCAGGUUCGUCAGAGACCUCGAUUUCCUUAAGGAGUCAGUGGCAGCCCGUCGUACCUACGAUGGUCCGUCCAGCACUUCCGUCACGAUGUUCAGAGAAUCAUUCCCUGUACCAAAUUCUCUAGAGUUGAAGUGUUUUGAAACGGUGGAUCACGACGGUUCGUCGUGCCUGUGACGGUCCGUCCUGCAUGUCCGUCACAGAGUUCAGAGAGUCGAUUUCAGCACCCAAAUUUCAGAAUUUCUAAGUGUUUUGGGACGAGACACCCUCGACGGUUCAUCGUGUCCAUGACGUUCUGUCGUGGGUUCCGUCGUCUCAGCCUGUUUUUUCAGAAAUAAAAUCUGCUGCUCAAAACGACUAAACAGGUCGUUACAUUUCCCUAAAAGGAAAACUUUUUAUGGUAAGAAUUCAGAACAAAUAAAUCCAAACAAAUCUUCCCCUUGCCCUGAACUUCUGACAAAAUAAAUUUAUCCAUCUUCCUUACAUAACCUUCAACAGAUUACAUCUUUUUUCCAUAAACUCCUCCAUCAAAUCUAAGUUUCGACAUAGAGAACCUCUCUGAAAUAAUUUCUCCAACAAAGAUCUUCAUUACUGUAAAAAAAAAAAGGUAGCAGCUAGAACUACACCCGCCAAGAUGAACACCCAUCUCUGACCUGGCUCGAUCAUUCAAAUAGAUAAUCAACAACAAUCAAUGCUUUGAUAUCACUUGUUAGGAUAAAAAAUAAGCAGGUGUUGUGCGGAAGCUAGCAAAGAAAACCUUGAAAGACCAUGAGUAAAAAGGCAAUCGAGAAAUACACCAAAAGAGAAAGAUUUAACGUGGUUCGAUCAAUAUUGAGAGGGAUAUUGGAAGGUCUUAAGGGUGUCACGGGAAACAGCUUCUUCGAAAAAAAUGCUAUAUAUAUGUAAUCAAAACUAGAAAUAUAACAAAGAUAUAUGUAUAAAGUGUUAAAUCUUUACAUAAGAGUGUGCGUGGCUUAGAUGGUAAAGUUUCCAAAUUUCUUGUUCACGAACUUGAGUUCGACUCCCUACCAAUGUUUUUAUUCAUAUACUAGAUAUCAUGUGUCCGCACCAGCGCAAGUCCAACGUAUGUUAAUUUUUUUUUCAAUUUAUAUGACACAAAUAAAAUUUGAAAAAGUGAACUAAAUUUUUUAUGUUUUUUCUAAAAAAAAAUUUAAUUGUUAAUUUAUGUAAUUUUAUGUUAUUUUCGAAUAAUAUAUGUUACUCCAUCUGUUUUAUUUUAUGUGAUACAAGUGAUUUUAGGAAAGUAAACAAAAUUUCUUAUAUGAUUCUCACAUAUUUUUAGUUUUCAUUUUACUGUGAUUUAUAGUACUUUUUAGUUUUUACGUUAUUUUCAAACAAUAUGUGCUAUUUUUUUUGUUUUGAUAAAAAUAAGGGAGUCAACCAAAUUUCAUUAUGUUUUUUAGCUAUGUUUUUCUAAAAAUAUCUUAAAUUGUUACAUUGCGUUAUUAAGCUUUUUUUUUAAUGUAAUUUUCAAAUAUGUAACAAAUUAGAAACUAAAACGAAGAAUUAAAGUUUUCAAAUCAUUAUAUUUGUAUAUUAAAAUGUUCAAAUCUUUAAAAAUCCACAUAUAAGCACAAAUUAAUAGAAGGAAACCAAACGAUUUUUUUUCAAAAAUAAUAUAUGAAAACUCAUUUCAAUAAUAACACAUAUAUAUAUUUCAUUUUUAAUAUAUGAAUACCUCCGUUUCGAUUUAUGUGAACUUAUUUGAUCAUCAUUCACUUCAUAUAUAGAAAGAUGUUUGUAGCAUUACUUAUUCUUGAUAGAUUUUUGUUAAAAUGAAAGUACAUUUUUAUUCUUGGUCAUCUUUACUACAAAUAUAUCAUCCUAUUCAUUUUUAUUUGUAAAGUUACUUUUUGACAUCUUUUUCUUUAAUUCCAAUAUAAUAUAUGUUGUUAAUUUUAUCACACUAAUUUAUUUUCAAGUAUAUUAAUUAGAUCAAAAAUAAAGAUUGAAAUAAUUAAUUCAUAAUAUUUUUAUAUAAAAAGUAGGCUUUUUUUUAUAAGCGUAGUGAAUAUCACAAUAACUCACAAAAGAAAAGAAAACAAAAGAAAGUGAAGCAAUAACAAAAUAAGUUAAUGGUAAUAAUAAUAACUUAAGAUAUUUCUAGAACUAUUUAAUUUUUUUGUUAUCAUUUUUGAUAGAUUUUUGUUAGCGUGAAAUUACAUUUUUGCCUUUGAUUAUUAUUCACUUUAUAUAUAGAAAGAUAAUUCUAGAUUUAUUUAUUAUCUUUCUUCUUUCUUCAUAGAUUUUUGUUAGCGUGAAAUUACAUUUUUUCCCUUGGUCGUCCUCCCACUUCACUCUUCUAUAUCAUAGACUAGAUAUCAUGUGCCAAAUUCUUUUAUGGUUUUGAGUUUUGUAACAAUUAGAAUCAGAAUUCAAGUUUUCCAUUGUAAGUCAAUGUGUGGUAGUAUGUAUUGUCAAUGUAUGGAUUGGUAAGGUAGGAAAUGAUUGAUCGCAUCGGGUAUUGAGCAUUUGGAAGGACGUGUGCAUGGUUUACAUCAUAAUAUUUUUUAUUUUUUAUUUUUAAAGGAUCUAAGGAAGGGUUUCUCUUAAAAUCUUGGUUUAGAGUAUGAGGUAAAAUUUCAAAGGUUGUUGGUCAUAUUAUAAGAUUGGUAAGUGAAACACCCCAGAAAAUUUUAAGCUAAGACUUGAACCAUCAUUCGUAGUGAGUAAGUUUUUGCCAAGGAAUUCAAAAUUUCUUUAGUAUUAAGUUCAGGUUACCCGACAUAGCACCUUGAAUUCUAAAAAAAAACUAAAUUCGAAAGAGUGAAAUGUGAAAUUUUGCAAGUUAUGCUUAUGUAAGAGUUUUAGGUCAACAUCAAACGAUCCUAACUCUCAGACACGAAUGAGUUAGGUUAGCUACAAGAACCUUAGGAAAGAUCUUUGAAUUAUCUUUCGAACGGAUGAAGUUUUCUCUAAGUUUAGAGUUCGGAUGAGUGAGAUAUGAUCUUUUGAAGUUAGGUUGUCAAGUUAAUGUAGUUAGCCGAAAAUAGUAAGGGAUAUUUUGUUUUUUUCCUUAUACAAUCAUAUUUAAAUCUUUUUUAGUAAGGUUUUAACGCUCUAAUCCUAUUAGGUGCAGUUUUAUAAUCCUAAUAUAAGCCUAGGGCUUUAGUUGAGAGUUCAAGAAAGAAAAGAGGAGAAACGAGGAGACGAUCAAGCAUUCGUCAACAUUCUUGCGUGAUGUCGUGGAUUUUUGACAUGGGUUUGAUCCAUAAGAGGUGUGUAAGCUUCCAUAGUUUUGUUUUAGUUCACCCACACGUCAAUCAUGUUAUUUUCUGUGAAAUUUCAUUCUUGAAGCUGAAAGAAAAGAGUUCUUGAUAGGUGUCCUUGAAGUUCAUUCUAAAUCUUUUUGUGUUGGAGUUUCGAUGAUUUAUGAAGAUGAAAUUGAUUGAUUUUAGUGUUUUUUAGUAUAUUAGAUUGUAAUUAAGUUAAGUAAUUGAAUUCAAGUGACUGGUGAAGAAACUGUUCGAUUCUAGGCGAAUUAGCGAGAGAAAACGAGAAAAGAAUUUCGUCGAGUUUUCUGGGUUGGGGGGCCUGGGAUGAUACGCCAGAAAGAGCGCCCCAAACUCUCCUUUGAACUUUAAGUCUUGAUACUCGCGCCACCCAUAGCGCCAGUGUCUCCUACACCAUCCAAUUUGUCAUUGGUUGCUCCGUUUGAGUUCGUUUAAAGUACACCUUUACUCCCUUUCGAUUCUAACUAGUCUAAGAUACUUAUAAACACCUAAAAUAAUUUCUAACAUAAUAAUAACCUUGAAUUCAUAAUUCAAAUUCAUUAUAGAUAUGAGAGUUGAGUUCUGAGAAUUCUUUUUACCGAUCUAAGAAAGUCCCUUUUGAGUCCUUUUUAGUGUCUUCUACAAUUUCUAGUAACUUGUUUUAAGACUUGAGCAAGUGAGUAUGAGAAGGAUGACAAUGUAUUCAUGAUCCUACCUUGACGUUAUGAGAUACUCCAUAUCAUGAACCAUAACUCUUGAAGAAAGUAUUUAAGUUCAAUUGUAAAUCCUUGGGUAUCAAUUUGAACUAACCUUUGAGGAAGUACGUAGGAGAAUGAGAAGGGUUGUACAUAAUGCCCGUAACAUCAGUAUGAAUUUCUUAAAUUGCGUAUCAUUAAGAGGAGUAGUAUCUUCAAAGUCUAAGUCUUGAGUAUUAAGUUUUCAACCCUUUUGAGAAUAUACUCCUAAUCAUGGGACUAUUGUAUGUUACCCAUUAAGUCCUUGAGUUGAAUUGUUCAUGCCCAUAAUUUCGCAUGAACCCAAUAAGUCGAACAAUAUUGAGAUGAGAAGAAUCUUUGAGUCCUUGAGUUAAGUAGUUUAUGCUCAUAAUUCCGCAUGAACCCUCUGAGUUGAGCAUUCUUGAAAUGAGCAGUAUCAUUGAAGUUUGUGAGUUCCAAAUUUUAAAUUCUACCUAUGGUUAUUUAAAACCUUGCAUUGAGCCGUCCAUGUCCAUCAUUUGGCAUGAACCAUACUUUAAGAAGUCUUAUACAAUUGUUUUAACUUUAUUUUAAGACUUAAAGCUUUGAAGUUGAGUAACGAGUAAGAGUAAAGUUCAUUUUUUUAAAAUGGUAUAUGGGAAUGAAGUAUUCCCAAGAAUAAAUGUUUUCACAUUUAAGAUAAGAGGAAAUUGAGAUUUUCAAAAGAGUUUUGAACAAGAAAGGGAACAUCGAUUCCACAAGAGAGCUUUUAAGCUAAGUUUUGAAUAAUUAUCUCAAACCAAAGAAAGAAGUUGUUUUAAAAAUAUAUGAGCUGUGCAUUUUUAGGAGUAGUAUUGAGCACCGAUAUAGAGUUGCGAAUUCAUAUUAACUCAAGUCUCCAUAAACUAUGUAUAUAUCAUGGGUAUCAAAGGGUCAUACUUUUUAGAUGAUCACUUAAGUUAAGCUAGUGGAUCCACUAAGUUAAGUGUUCUAUAUGAGGUCAAAGUAUAGAAUAGUUCUGGCAGCGUGGGUAAGACGGUGUAUCACCACUUAGGCUCAUAGUGGUGUUUGUUGGUUAGAGCAUCUCCAACGGAAACUAUGUUACUUAUUAUAUAAUUAAAGUUAAGUUUGUUAUUGCAUUUUUGUUAAUAAACUAAGUUGUUUUUACUGUUUUAUAAAGCUUUCUAUAUUGCAUGUGUAUUGUUGCUUUAUAUUAAGUUGAGUAUCCAAAGUUGAUUACCAAGAGUUGAGUAUCUAAUCUCUGAGUUGAGUAUCUUAUCCUUGAGUACUUCUGAGUUGAGUAAGUUGAGUAGUUUUGAGUAUUCCUUGAGUUGAGUAAAUUUGAAAAGAAGUAUGUUUUCAUUUUGAUCAAGUUUAAGCUUAUGUUUAUGCUUUAAAAUUUCCUUACAUACCAUUCCACGUACUGAGCCAUUUGUCCUGCAUCUUUUGAUGAUGCAGACACAUGUCUUUAGGAUCAUCAACAUGAGUUUCGUUGAUACAUACGAGAAUUUGAGUAAGCUAUAGUGAGCUUCCAUGCUUCCGGAGGAUUUCAUUACUUUUCAAGUUCAGUCAAGAUGUCAUGGGUCUUGUCCCAACUUCCAUCAUGAUCAGUUAGAGGCUUAAUAGAUAGUAUGUAUAAUUGAGAAGUCUGUAUUAUUCAUUUAUUUUAUUAACUGUUUUAAAGACUUAAGUUGUCUAUUUUAUGGAGAGCUGAAUAUAAUUUGCUUUUGUUCAAAGUUUUCAUUUGAGUCAAAGUUUUGUAUUUUAGUUUCAUGAAUUUUUAUUCAAUUUUUAAGCUUUUGCAUGCUCAAGUUAGCCUUUCGCUGGUAGUCAGCCCGGAUGAGGGUUCGUUUGGGGAACAACAAUGGUUCUGGAGUGUCGGUCAUGUCUAGGGUGUAGACUCGGAUCGUAACAGUAAGCGAGUUAGAGAAAGGAACAAGAGUCUCAUAUAUUAAAGAGUUCAACAUAUUUGGAAUUUAUGUCAUGGUAAGAAUACAAGAAAAGUGAAGGAAUAUUAAUAUAUCCUGUGUAGACCCUUGGUUCGGAUUUGAAGGUUGUAUGGAUUUUUGCCUUUGAAUUCAGAUAUGACUAUAUAAUCUAAAAUUGUUCGCAAUAGACUUACUAGGGGUUUAUCAACGACCUUUAUGACAUUUGGGUUUUUUUUGGGUGACAAAUAAUGAUAUGUGGAAGAUUACACGUUCUUAUGUUGGUUUUGACUAUUCAAAUUAUAGUAGAUGGCUUAUGGGGGCUCUACGAUAUAGACCUAGAGUUCUACAUGGUUAUUGAUGAUUUCAAGGAGAUUGAAACUACUGUAUGUUAGAAAAAAAUACUACAAUACUGAUAUUAGAUUGGAAAUUAUAAAGUAAUAAAUAACUUAUCACAAACACUCUGUCGUGGCAAGCCACUUCCUUGAAAGAGAUUUCGGCCCGACGCUGAUUCAAAUUGUAAUAAUCGAUCACUCCCCAAGGUUCCACAGUUACUCUCAAACGCGUGCAUUCGUGGCUGAAAGUUUGGAGAUUCCCACAAUCAAUUGCCCAAAAAUAUUCUAAGAAUAAGCUUAAAAAAAGAAAGGAGAAACAACUUUUUCUCUUUUUUUUUUUGGUUUUUGUUGUAUAUUAUGCUCACAAAAUGUCAUGCUAAUAUAGAUAUUUCAAGAUGUGGCGUUUCAAAUAGAAGAUUUAUAUUUUUUUUCAUUUGGAGAAACUAAUUGUCAAGAUUAAUGGCAUUACAGGUCAUUACUUCACUUUUACAUAAACCCCUUGUUGUCUUUUGGAACGGAUAUGUUUUCUCUUUUGACACGUAUUAUUGUUAUAUCUUUGCAUUAGACAUAAUUAACAUAAUUAGAAUUGACUCAACACUAUUUUGAUAGGACUACUCAUACCGUUGUGAUGCAUUACAUAUACACGUGAUGGUAAAUAGAAGUUAUGUGUUCAUGGUAUAUAGAAGUAUUGUGGUGACAAAAAAUUUCUCUAAGUUUUGGUAUGAAGGACAUUUUGAAUGUUAGAUAAAACUUAGUAUGUGAAAUAUUACGUGGAGUUGACAUUGAUAUUUUAGAUGGUUCAAUUGAGUCUAGAACUUCGAGUUUAGAUGUGUAGCAUAUUUCGUUUGCGAACUCGGGGUUCCAAAAGAAUCCCAAAGAUCCAUUUGAGAAUUUUGUACUUCAUGUGAAUUGUUGGCUUGUGUUUUCUGGUGGAUAUCAUUUGUUCUUUGCGAUCAUGACAUGCACCCUCUCUUGCAAUCGCAUAGGGUUAGUUGUGUCCAUCGCUGAUCACGUAGCUUUUUUUCCGUGUCAUCACGAUUGUGUGGCUGGACCUCGUGAUUGCAAUGAUUAAAAUAAAUGAGUUGACCUUCUAAGUCAUAUUGAUCUCAAAGCCUUGUUUAGCAUGAUCGCGAAGAGUAAUUUUCACCUAGACGGAAUAUUUUAUCAAAAUUAAGAUUUCAACCUGAUUCCUCAUUUUUUUUAAUAUUGAGAGCUCUAUUUUGGCGAUUUCAAAGGGAUUAGUCAACAUUCAUCAAUUGGAUCCCAACUCUAUUACCCAUAGAUUAAUUCAUGAUUUUGGUGAUUAAGAUUGAGUGGUGAGUCCAACUUUUGAAGGCUUUUGAAAAGGUUUAAGGCUUAUGUUAAAUUGGUGAUUUAAGAAUUGAUUCAAACUCCGUUUUUUAUUUGGUUUUCACAGUUGGUUUCAAAAUUAUUUGGGUAACACAAUUUUAUAUAAAUAUACAGAUUUAGCUUCAUUUUUGAAAUUGGGGUUUUGGGUCAAUUUGACCUCAUUUUCCAAAACUCUUGAUAUGGGAGCUAAUAGUCCCAAAAUCUUGUUGUGUUUCACUACAAUAAAAAUAACUUUUAGAGUCAAUAAAUAGACACAUUAAUAAAGAAUGCUAAAGUCUUUAUCGGCAUUAAUUAAAUGUCUUUAUAUCCAACGUCGCUAAAUGCUUCCGAGACAUAUGUAUAAGGACAGCUAAUUUUCGCUAAAAAUACAUAUUUAGCGGCAAUUGAGCUAUUAUCGUUAAUUAAUUGUCGAUAAAGAUCAUUUUUGAUGUGGUGAUUACUUAUUUGAAUAAAUUGUGUUGAAUUAGAGACUCGACAAAAGGGAAAAGUGCAAGUCCGGGAGUGAUUGUUUUGAUUAAUUAAGGCAAGUGAACUUGUUAACUUUUCGUUGAGUUUAUUGAAACUUGUAUGUCAUAGUAUGAUUGUAGUACUGGGAAUUGGUGAAGGGAUUCAUAUGAGAAUUUGUGUAUUGUAAAUUUAUGAUAUGACCUUGUUAAAUAACUUGGGUUAUAACGAGAAUCUAGUUGAUUUGUAUAACAUGAUUAUAUUGUGGACAAUUGGUCGAAUGAGAUGAUUGACUUGAAGGUAUGCUUUGAUUGUCUGUUGUUGAUGUUGAUUUAUCGUCCUCAUAUUUGAUCAUUGCACUAUUGUUUUUGCGUUGAUAUUUGAAGAAACCUAUCCCCUAGAACAAGAACCAGGUUCUUGUAAGUUGCUUUUAAGUAAAGACACAAACACUUAUUAAAUUAAAAACCUUCCUCACUUAAGGUUUCCUUAUUUGUCUCAACUUGUACCUUCAAUAUAUUAUUUUUGGCUUUGACAAAUAACUCUAUUUCUUGACUAUGUGGCUGCAUCAUUUUGCUACUUUAUUUUGUAUCGCUUUGGCUGCUGCUUUGCUGCAUUAAUUAUUUUGCAUUUCUUGUCUAUCAUCAAAAUAUUGAUUUUGAUUAACUCUAUUUCUUGAAGUAGAAUUAUCGGUUCUAUCAUAUUCUCCCUUUUUUAUGAAGACAAAUCUAUCUGUGUGAUGCAAACCUCUUCCCCCUUUUGACAAAUCAAAAAGAGUCCAAUAGCAGCUAAACAAAAUCAAAUAACAUUCAUAGCAACAAUUGAAGCUCAGCCAGUUGAGCACAAGAAAAUGUUCUGGCAACAAAAAGAAGAGUAACAACACAGAGUUAAACAACCAAAAUAACCAGGUUCAAACAAGAUGCUUUUCAAGUUGAAGUUUGACUAGGCUUGGUUGAAGCAAAAGCAAGCAUAUCCAGAACUCUGUCAACCCUUGCAUUGUUAGCAAGUUACAGCUGCACCAACUGAUCUUUAAACCUAUGAAUUUCAGCAUUUGAAGUAUGAAGUUCAGUACGUAAAUUCUUGUUUUCUAACUCAAGAGUGGCAUAUUUUUCUUCAGCCACUUUGAGUUCCCUGAGUAAUUGAGCAACAGGACCAAAUAUACGUGGAGAAGCAUUUGCAACCUGCUCCGACUCCAUGGGAAUGCCACAAUCAGCAAGAAUGGUUUGAGUAAACAUAUCUGCACGAGUCAAAAUCCUACCUUCUCCCAAUGGUACUUCAAAUGCAUCAAACACUCUAGUUAACAGAUUUCCAAAAGCUAAUUGAUGAGAACCUAGUUUAGGAUCAACAAUUCUAGCAAGAUGUUUGAUAAUCAGUGUGGGCCAGUCAAUGCGUUCUUUGCACUCAAGAGCAUUCAUAAGUCUCAUGUCUCUUAUGGAGGCAAUGUGACGUUGGUGAUCUCUAGGUAGUAUCACCUUAUGUACUAUCUCAAAGAGAAGCGUAUGCAAUGAUCUCAUAAUGCCCUUUAAAACAGUUUGUGCCCUAGAAUUGACUCUACCUUGAGAGAAUUUAGCUGGCAAGCUAGAAUGUUUAUCAAAACCCCAAUGAUACUCAUUAAUACCCACAGAUGGUAUAUGCAAGAUUUCCCCAAGUUUAGUUGCAUUAAAAACAAUGUCAACUCCCUUCACAUUAGACGAUACCACAUCUCCUUCCAAGAUUACCAAAUUUGUAUAGAAAUCUACCACUUCUUGUUCAUAAAUAAGAUUAGGUUCCAGAAAUAACUCCUCCCACCCCUGAAACCUUAGUAGUUCACAAACCUGCUUAACUAUAUCCAUUGAUUGUAUAUCAGGGUGAAAGGUUCUACCCCUAAGCACUGUUUUGGUUUGAAAAUAUUUUUUCUUUCCCACUUUGAGAAAUUUAUCCACAUUUCUUUUUGCAUAUUUUGAUUUUGACUGAGGAGUUUCAGAAUGUUUACCCUCAGAGACAUCAUCUAUUUCAGAAUCAAGAUUCAUUGGAGAAAUAGAUGAGUGAAUAGGAGACUUACCCAAACGACGACGCUUCACACUAGAUGUUGCAUCAUCAGUUGGUUUGACCACAUUCACACUCCGAGUCACUGGCCUGUGUGGAUGAAUCUGUUUAACUGCAAUGUACUUUCUUGGCCGUCUUGGUUUUUUAGGGUGAAGUGUGCUCAGAAGAAUGUCAUCAUUGAUUGGAGAAUGUGGAGAUGGUGGUGGAUUUUUAGGAUUGGUUUUAUGAGAUGGGGAAGUUGAGAUUUUUUGGGACAGUGGUUAUGGGAGUUUCUGGAUUUGGUUGUAAUGGGGUUUCUUGGACUGGUGGUGGUGGUGAUUUUGUGACGGGUGAUGGUGGAGAUUCUGCAACUAGAGGUGGAGAUUUUUCUUUCACUGGUGAUGGUGGAGAUGUAGACGGAUCUGAUUUGGGUGAGGAUAUAGAUGGUUUGGUUGGGAGUUGGCUUUCUUCCCCUUGAUUAAGCACAGUAUCAACGACGGGGUUCUCUUCCCCCUAAGAAGAUGCAUUGUCAGAUGAAUUUUCGUCAUCUGGGUAAGCAACGAGUGGAUUAACAAUGGUGGUGGAGAGGAUUUUUUUUCUGAAGAAUGAAGAUGAGAAAGAGUUGGUUGCUUGUUUAGAGAGAGUGCUUUAUUGGGAACGGUUUUGAUGUUGUAUUCGAGGGGUUUGAGUAAUUAUGGGUGAUUGACAUCGAGGAGACGUGUGCUUUGACGGUAGCACCUGCUUUUCAGAGACGUGACAUAGGAGAGAGAAGAUGAAAUUGUCCCCCCCCCCUUUUUUUUUAAUUUUUGACAGCUAAGUGUAAAGAAGUUGUUGAACCAACUUGACUGAACCUGGUUCAUAUCUCCUUAGAACUUGGUUGGACAGAAUUCAAUCUAGAAAGAUGAGCCCUAACUCAAGUCUAUUUUUCUGAAAUGAUUCUCUCCCUAGUGCCUUGGUGAAAAUAUCAGCAACUUGAUCCUCCGUUUUGCAGAACUUCAUUACUAUGUUUCCUUUUUCAACAUUAUCACAAAGAAAGUUAUGUCUAACAUCUAUGUGUUUGGUGCGUUUGUGUUGAAAUGGGUUUUUGACCAUGUUCAUAGCACUUGUAUUAUCACAUAGAAUAGGAAUACGACAUGUUUCUAUGCCAAAAUCUGUAAACUGUUGUUUCAUCAAAAGAAGUUGGGCACAACAUGAAGCAGCUGCAACAUACUCAGCCUCCGCAGUAGAUAGAGCCACUGAAUUUUGUUUUCUAGUUGCCCAUGAUAUUAAACAUGGUCCUAAAAAGUGUGCCAUCCCAGAGGUACUUUUUCUAUCAACCAUAUGUCCUGCAUAAUCUGCAUCAGUAAAUCCUUUUAAAUCAAAAGAGUCCCCAGUUGGAUACCAGAGAACCAGGUUCAUUGUGCCUUUUAAAUAUCUCAGGAUUCUUUUGACAGAUUUUAGAUGUGAUUCCUUGGGACAGGACUGAAACCGUGCACAUAGACCAACACUAAAGUCUAUAUCAGGUCUACUGGCAGUAAGGUAUAGGAGUGAUCUAAUCAUACCUCUAUAUUUAGUGUCAUUUACUGGUGAACCUGGUUCAUCUUUAUCAAUCUUUGUUGUUGUCCCAAUAGGUGCGUCAUUUGACUUAGUUUCAUUCAUAUCAUACUUCUUCAGUAAUUCCUUGAUGAACUUUUGUUGAUGAAUUGAUGUUCCAACUUGAGUUUGCUUAAUUUGGAGUCCCAAAAAGAAGUUUAACUCUCCCAUCAUACUCAUCUCAAACUCACUAUUCAUUAGUUAAGCAAAUUCUACCCCCAGUGCGUCAUUGGUUCCUCCAAAUAUGAUAUCAUCUACAUAUACUUGGACUAUGAAUAGAUCUUUACCUUGUUUUCGAAGAAACAGUGUAUUAUCAAUUUUUCCUCUUGUUUAUCCAUGUGUGAGAAGAAUAGUGGACAAUCGAUCAUACCAUGCUCUAGGUGCUUGUUUUAGCCCAUAGAGUUCUUUGUCCAGUUUAUAUACAUGAUCAGGAUACAUGGUAUUCUCAAAACCUGAGGGUUGUUUCACAUACACCUCUUCUUGCAGAUAACCGUUUAAGAAGGCAUUUUUGACAUCCAUUUGGUAGAGUUUAAACUCUAUGUGAGCAGCAUAUACGACCAAUAUUCUGAUUAUCUCAAUUCUUCCUACUGGUGCAAAGGUUUCAUCGUAGUCUAUACCUUCUUCUUGGUUGUAUCCUUGUACAACUAGCCUAGCUUUGUUGCGUACUAUUUGACCUUGUUCAUCGAGCUUGUUUCUAAACACCCACCUUGUUCCUAUUACCGUCCUGUUUUGAGGUUUUGGAACCAGGUUCCAUACUCUGCUUCUUUCAAACUAAUUGAGUUCUUCUUAAAUGGCACUAAUCCAAUCAGAGUCCAGUAGUGCUUCUUUUAUAUUUUUUGGCUCAAUUAGGGACACAUAGGAAGAGAAUGCACACAUGUUCCGUAAUUUGGAUCUUGUAGAGAUGCCUGAGUUAAGAGGAGUAAGAAUAUUUUGCAAAGGGUGAGAGCUUUGAUGUUUCCAACUGUGAGUUGGAAUGUUUGCUUGCUCUUGAGGUGCAGAAGAACCAGUUUCAUUAGUAGACUUAUCUCCUAUUUCAGGUGUUUUAUGAGAGGGUGUAGAUUCUUCUCCCCAUAUUUUUGGUUCUGAUAGCUUGGAGCAGGUUUCCUCAUUUUGUUCAUCCUCUGAAUUUCCUUCACCUUCACUACUAUUUUCAUUAAAGACAACAUGAACACUUUCUUCUACACGGUUUGUUCUUUUAUUCAGUACCUUGUAGGCUUUGCUUUGUGAUGAAUACCCCAUAAAAAUUCCUUCAUCACUCUUGGCAUCAAAUUUUCCCAAGUUGUCCUUGUCAUUGUUGUGUAUAAAGAAUAUAUACCCAAAGGCCCUAAGAUGUGCUAAAUUUGGUUUUCUUCCUUUUAGCAGCUCAUAUGGUGUUUUAUUUAACACGGAUAUGAUCAUACAUCUGUUUAUUAGAUAGCAUCCUGUGUUCACUGCUUCAGCCCAAUAGAAUUUUGGAAGUUUGCUUGAGAUUAACAUUGUUCUUGCAAUAUCUUCCUGUGUUCUAUUUUUCCUCUCAACUACACCAUUUUGUUGUGGUGUUCUAGGUGCUGAGAAGUUAUGCUCAAUCCCAUUUGUAGUACAAAAUUGUAGGAAUUGUGAGUUCUCAAACUCCAGCCCAUGAUCAGAUCUGAUGCUAAUUAUUUCUUUGUUGAAUUUUUUUCUGAAACAGCUUUGCAAAGAUUUCAAACAUAGUGAAUGUCUCAUCCUUUGUUGCAAGAAACAAUGUCCAAGUGAAUCUUGAGUAGUCAUCAACUAUUACAAACACAUAUCUUUUUCCACCCCUGCUUUGUACACGCAUUGGUCCACACAAAUCCAUGUGGAGCAGUUUUAGUGGCUUGGUAGUACUCAUUGUCAACUUUGGUUUGAAGGAUGAUCUAACCUAUUUUCCUUGAAUGCAGGUUCCACAUACUUGGUUGUCCCUGAAACUUUUGGUUGGCAGUCCCCUAACCAGGUCUUUAGAUAUGAGUUUAUUUAUAGUUGUCAUGCUAAUGUGUCUCAUUCUUUUGUGUCAUAGCAUGGAGCAAUCAGAGACUGCACUUAGACAUUUAAGAGUAUAUUCCUUGGAGUCAACAAUCUUGGCUUUGUACACAUUCUUGUGUCUCUUACCUAGUGGAACUAGGUUCCCAGUCACUGAGUUUGUUACUAUGCAUUCCUUUUCUGUAAAGAGAACAUUGUUUCCUUUAUCACAUAUUUGAGAUACACUCAAUAGAUUAUGUUGUAGGCCAUUCACAUAGUAUACAUUCUCAAUUGCAUGAGUAUCCAUUGAUCCUACCUUUCCAAUUCCCUGAAUUUCCCCACUUUUUCCAUUACCAAAGGCAACGUUCCCUCCUUUGAUGUUCUUGAGUGAGAGGAAGCUUCUUUUAUCUCCAGUCAUGUGUCUGGAACAUGCACUAUCCAAGUACCAUUUUUGUUGCUUCCUCUUCACUGAUCCCUGCAGUUUAAUUUUGGGGAUUAGAUUUUGGUACACAAAUCCACUUUGAUUUAUGCUUAGAGAAUAGAUGAAUAAGAUUUUUUCUGGCCCAUCUAGGAAGAGAUUUGACUGUAGGAAUUUGUUUUUGCUCAUUGGUUUUCUCAUGAUGAGGUUUUCUCAAAGAUUUCAAGUUUUUGUUAUGAGCAGUUUGUUUUCUUUGACAAUCAUGACUUUUAUGCCCUACCAGCCCACAGUGCAUGCAUAGACAAUCUAUGUUGGGAUUUUUUACUUGAGAGCUAAUUCUAUCAAAACCUAUCACAUGUAUCUCAGAUGUACGAUUCUUGUGAAUGUUGUUAAGCAAUAUGGAGGACCUGGUCCAUCUCAUUCCAUUGUCAGCUUCAGUUUUAGUCACAAGAAACUCUUUGGAGAGUGCUUCAUUCCUUUUAGUUACCAAGUCUAGGUUUUUACUUAGUUCAGUAUUCUUGGAUAAAAGAUGAAGAUUUUUUUUUCAAGAUUCUUGUUUUCUUCUCUUAGUGAUGCCUAGUCUUCCAUUAUCAAUUCCCUUUUUGAGUCUAUGGUUUUAUAUGCAUCAAUGAGAGUGUAGAGUAAAGAUUCUAGCUCCCUUUUUGAGUAUGAGUUAAGAUUGUUUUGUAUGUGAUGAAGACUAACCUUUUCAUUCAUAUCUUCUUCUUCUUUAUCCUCUUCAGAAUCUGAUCCAGCCAUGAGUGCUAGUAUGGUUUCUUGUGAUUGCAGGUUUCCUUUUCUUCCUUUGUUUCCACUGCUACAAGAGCAAGAAAGUCAUAAUCAUCUUCUUGUUCUAGUGCAAGAAGGGACUUGUUUUCUGUCUCAUCACCCUCAGACUCUUCAUCAGAAGAAUUCCCCAUUGCUGCAAAGGCCCUUUUCAUUGAGAUAUCUGCCUCUUGAGUUGUCAUUCUUUUGUUUGAGGGGACAAACUUAUCUUUCUUGAUGUCUUUGCCCUUCUCAAAGUUUGCCUUUUUCUGCUCUAAAGCCCAAGUGGACAGAAUUUGAUGAAGUGAUCCGGGCUCCCACACUUAUGACAAACCUAGUCUUUAGUGUUUUCAUAUGGUUUUUGAGGAGUUUUCUUUUGAAAGGUCUGCCCUCUCUUUAGCAUUCUGGUGAACCUUUUGGUUAUAAGGGCAAUAUUUUCAUCUUCAAGAUCAUCUAAUGCAGUAGCCUUUAGAACCAGGUUCCUUUACUUCCUUUUUUCUCCGAUUUCCUUUUCUUGGUUUUUCUUGAGUUUAUAUGUGAUGAGAUUACCAAUUAAAUCAUCCAUGGCCAGUGACUCUAGGUCACAGGCUUCAGUGAUAGCCUCGACUUUGCUUUCCCAAGUUUCAGGAAGGACACUCAAGAGUUUCCUUACUGCCUUUCCAUUAGGAACUAUCUCUCCCAAGGAGUACAUCUCAUUGAUGAUGGAAGUGAACCUGGUGUGCAUGUCUUGUAUAGUCUCCCCUUCUGCCAUCCUGAACAGCUCAUAUUGCCUGUUCAAGUUAUCAAUUUUGGACUUCUUGACUUGCGUUGUUCCUUCAAGAGCGGUUUGUAGUGUUUCCCAUAUGGCUUUGGCAUCUUGACAAGAUGAGAUUCGAUUGUAUUCGUCUAGUCCUAUGCCACAGAUCAAAAUUUUCUUGGCUUUGGCAUUGUUUUGGAUUGCAAGCUUGUCUUCAACCUUCCAUUCUUUUCUUUUCCUUUGGAAUUUUGGUGAUUCCAUCAGUUGCAUUUUUCAUAGGUAUAGUUGGUCCAUCUAGAAUUACUCCCCAUAGAUCAGGGUUUUCGCCAAUAAGAUGGUCCAUCAUACGAUUUUUCCACCAUCCAUAGUAUUUUCCAUUGAACAGAAGUGGUCGUGUUUGUGAAGCUCCCUCUUGUGGGGUAUGUGGUGUUGUCAUUGAGUCUUUUCAAGGUGUGAAUCUUUUAUCGAAAAGACCUUCUCUGAUACCAAUUGAAGAAACCUAUCCCCUAGAAUAAGAACCAGGUUCUUGUAAGUUGCUUUUAAGUAAAGACACAAACACUUAUUAAAUUAAAAACCUUCCUCACUAAAGGAAGGAAAAAUCUCGUUUUAUUAAUUCAACUAAAAGAUUUUGUGAUUACUACUCAAUAAUCAAAAAGCCUUACCACUACUAACUCUCUCGAUUGACUACAAUCGAUUACUUCUACUCUCCAAAAGGUCAAACUCACCUUGUGUUACAACCCUCACUGAAACUCAACCCUACAAGAAGCCAAACCCACUCCUUGUACAAUAACUCGUAACUUACAAUCAAGAACGAAACAACAAGAUAGUUUUACACGUUUAAAACUUUCUCACUCAAGAACUUUUUAAACUUAGCAAACCUAUCGAUCUUGAAGACUUCUACUCGAUGAAUAAUUCUCACUUUUCUCUCUAUGUGAAGUCGUGAUCUUCUAUUUUGCGUAUGUCCUCUUUUUAUAGAUAUUCCUGCUACCUUAUAUCCUUAUUAAUUAAGGUAAGGAAAUUGUAAUCAUGGUUGAACAAGGAGUACUAAUUUUCCUUUUUAUUGUACAAUCCUUUUUCUAUACUUCCUUAUUUAAUAUAUUAAGGUUUCCUUAUUUGUCUCAACUUGUACCUUCAAUAUAUUAUUUUUGGCUUUGACAAAUAACUCUAUUUCUUGACUACGUGGCUGCAUCAUUUUGCUACUUUAUUUUGUAUCACUUUGGCUGUUGCUUUGCUGCAUUAAUUAUUUUGCGUUUCUUGUCUAUCAUCAAAACAUUGAUUUCGAUUAACUCUAUUUCUUGAAGUAGAAUUAUCGGUUCUAUCGAUAUUGUUGUACCACUAUUGUGAUGUUGAGAGGAAAUAGGGAACGGGUUACACAUUCAUGGCGGAUUCAUUGAGAGGAAAUAGGGAACGGGUCACACAUUCAUGGUGGAUUCAUUUAGAGGAAACAGGGAACGGAUCACACAUUCAUGGCGGAUUCAUUGAGAGGAAAUAGGGAACGGUCACACAUUCAUGGCGGAUUCAUUGAGUGGAAAUAGGGAAUGGCCAACACAUCCGUGGCAGAUUCAUUGAGAUGAAAUAUAAGGAGCCCUAGUCAGUCUUCGUUAUAUCAAGAUGCAGCAUUAUGUAACUCUCAUGUAAACCUAUACCAAGUUCUAGCAAGCAUGAUGCUUGUUUGGCCAUAAAAUGGUGCAUUUCUCUAUGCUUGCAGCCAGUAUAUACUGAUAGAGCUGUUAAUUAUUCAUUUGUUUUAUGAGACUGUCGAUUUAAGGAUUGGUCUAAAAUUCAAUGUUAAUGAUUUCACUUUGUGCGUUGAAGCUUCCAUACCCAUCAUUUCUUAUCUAAUAAGUCUUUAUCCUCAUACUUGUUUUCUUAUUAAGUCAAGACAAUUUCUAUGAUAUAAUAAAAUAAAAGUAUUCUAGUGCUUAAGUUAUUAUUAUGAGCAUAAUGUACAAGUUAACUAAAAUUUAUAUUAGUAUAUAAAAAUGAAAUCUUAAUUUUUGGUUAAAUUAAUCCCAAAAAAUGCAUGUAUUAAUAUUUGGCGACUUAUAACCCAAGCAAAAUGAAGCAAGUAAACGCUCAGCAAGAAGUCAAUGAUUUGUUCAUUAAAGCUGAAGCAUUUUAAACAAGUUCAAAACUGGAUUAUACCAGAUAUCUUUCAACAAGUAUUCUUCCAAAUCAAAGGAAAAAAAUAUAGAGGUGAUCCCUCCACUUGUUUCCAAGCUUCUUGCACCAUCUUCAUAUAAUCUAAAUGGACAACUUAAUAAUAAAAAGUAUUAAGACAAAUGAUGUUGCUAACACAAUUUAUUUCUAACAUUCAUAGGUACUUAUUGUUAUUCACUUUAAUAUAUAUAGGUCACCCUACAUACAUAAAGAUGAUAUCUUGCAUAUUGAAAUUAUAAGUAAAAACAAAGCUAAAACAUCAAGUCUGUAAUCUUUAAAAUGGACCAAAUAUAAAGAAACUAGAUUUUUAAAAAAAAUGUUUGUUUGUCACUCAUGGAUCAAUCUAAAUUUAAAAGUCAUCUCCACCGAAAGCCUCAUUGAGGAAAACAUCGUCCCAUUCCCAUGCAUCAUUCUCAUGUGUUGUUUCAGCAAAGUAUUCAUUGUUUCCCAUGGUAUUCUCCUGAUGAUUGUAACAAAAUAUUUAAAGUGAGUUUUGUGCGAAUAAUAUUACAAAUAUAAAUUUAUAAUAAAAAAAUAAAUAAAUUUAAUUGAUCAAUAAUAAUAAAAAUAUGGUUUUGAACUAACCUCCAUAGGAAAGUUAAGCUCGUUAACAUUAGAAGCUAUCGCAUCACUUUGAAUUGAAGAUUGAUCAUUUGAUUGAAUGAUGUGAUUGAUGUUGUUGUUAUUAUCCAAGUUGAUAUUCCAAUUUGAAUGGUCAUACUCCAACCCUAAUUGGGAGGGAGUGUUCAAUUGUGUACCCGUAUUCACGAGUGAACUCGAGUCAUACCUGAAAGAAACAAUGUUAAAGAACUACAAUACCAACAAAACUAUUAAAUGUAUUUCAUUGACUUAAUGUAUAUCAUAUUAUUACUAUUUAUGCAGUCUCUUUUAUCAUAAUAAUUUGACCUUGUAUAGAGUUUAGAUGCAUUGAUCGUUAUAAUUCUAAUGUCAUCAUAUUUUUAAGAAGAUAAAAUAUUAUCUUGCAAACAAUGAUUAAAUGCAUGAAUAUCGAAAGAAACCUUGUGGAAGCGAAAUCAUUGUGCCAGAACUUUGUGAGAGAGUUGUCACUACUUUCACCAAAUGUCAGUUGUGCCUGCAAAUUAUUAGUUAACUACUUUAGUACAAGGGCGGGCACUGAAGGGAUAAGAUUUUUUUUAUGAAUAACAUCUCAAAAAUAUUAAUGUACCUCUGACAAUCCAAAUGUUUGUGCUGAUUUGUGCUGGAUAUCUACUAGCAUGUUCUGUUGUUGGUUCUAUUGUACAGAUAUAAAUAAUUAUAUCAAAAUUAAAAAAAAUAUCUCACCUCUUUAAGAAGAUUUUAAUAAUAAAUAAUAUUUCAAGAAUAUUAAUUUACUUGUGAUUGUCCAAGUGCUUGUGUUGAAUUUUUAAAAAAAAAUCCCAUCUCUUUAAGAAGAUAUUAACAAAGAAUAUUAUUUCAAAAAUAUUAAUUUACCUGUAAUUGUCCAAAUGUUUGUGUUGAAUUCUGUUGGACAUCCACUACCAUGUGUUGUUGAUGGCUCUAUUCAACAGAUAAAAAUAAUGGUAUCAACAUUCCAGAAAAUAUUUCAUCUUCUUAAGGACAUCUUAACAAAAAAUGAUAUUUCAAGAAUAUUAAUUUACUUGUGAUUGACCAAAUGUUUGUGUUGGAUUCUUCUGGACACCUACCACCAUGUUUUGUUGUUGGCUCUAUUUUACAAACAAAAAUAAUAUUAAAAUUCAAAGAAAAAAUCUCAUCUCUUUAAGGAAAUUUUAGCAAGGAAUAGAAUUUCAGGAAUAUUAGUGUACCUGUGCUUGUCCCAAUAUUUGUGUUGGAUUCUGUUGGAUAUCUACUUCCAUGUUUUGUUGCUGACUCUAGUGUUAGGGUAAAAAUUAUUAUAUAAAAUUCAAAAAAAAAUAUAUAGUCUAUUUAAGGAAAUCUUUACAAUCAAGAAUAUUAAUGUACUUGUGGUUGUCCAAAAGUUUGUGUUGGAUUCUGCUGGACAUCUACCAUCAUGUUUUGUUGUUGACUCUAUUUCGCAUAUAAAAUAAUAUAUCAAAAAAAUAAAAAUAAAAAUCACAUAUCUUCAAGGAGAUCUUAAAAGGAAAUAGUAUUUCAAAAAUAUUAAUAUACUUGUAAUUGUCCAAAUAUUUGUAAUGAAUUCGCAUGAACAUCUACCAUCAUGUUUUUUUGCUGGCACUAUUGUACAAAUAAAAUAAAGCAUAUCAAAUAUUUGAAAAGAAAAUAUCUCAAUUUUUUAGAAGAUCCUAAAAAGUGUUACCUGCAAUGGGGUAAAAGGUGAUGGGUUUCGAGAAAUUGGCAUAUUUCCUAAAUGUGAAGAACCAGCGAAGGAAGGGGUAUAUGUGUAAUUGCUAGAACUGUUUGCUACUCUCUUUCCUUUGUCCAUCCAGUCUUGAUUUUGAAUAGUUGAACUGCAAUAGUAAUGAAAUAAUGAAACCAAAAGGAGAAAGGAAAGGGAUUUUUUUCAAUUAUGUGAAAAAAGUUAAUAACCUGAAUGGACUAAUCCAAUUAUUAGUAUCAAACUGGUGAGGAGCCAUUUGUUGUGCAACAGAGUGAACAUCCAUAUUUCCUUGUUUCUCCAAUUUCAUCUAAUCAAAAUGCAUUUGAUAUUAGUUGCGAUUUUACAUUAUUUCUAAGAAAAAUAAGUAUUUUCUUGAAAUUAUGAUUUCAUAUUAUUCGUCAAAUGACAAAUCAAGGAAAAUUAAAUGGUGGAAGAACAAACUUUUCUGGCCAAGAUUUUUUGAAGGGAGUGUUUCAAGUUACUCUCACACCAACGUAGUUGGUGAAGAGAAGGCUCUUGUUCUGCUCCUGUUUCGUAAUCCCUGCAUAAUCAUAUUGUUAGACAUAAUAUAUUGACAACCACUUAAACUUAGUAGUGUAUUACAUUUAGACAAGUGAAAUAUUCUAUAAUAUAAAAUGAAAAAUAAAGGUGAUGUCAAUAAGUGAAACCAUGAGACUAUAAUUAAGAAAAACACUUGUAAUACUAAAUUAAAUGACCUUAUGUUAGCAUCCACAAUUUGUAGCUCCAAUGUGCUCUUCUUGAUUUGUAGCUCCAAAUUCUAUAUUAAAAAAUUUCAAGUUAAAAUAACAUUAUCAAUUUUCGUCAUUGGCUCUAGAAUGAUUUAUUAACACUUAUUUAGACAAUUCUUAAUUUCUAUUUCAAGUCACACCUAAUUAACACACUACUAAUUAGAAUAGCAAGGGUAGAUUGAAAAGAGAAAAAACAACUCAUAAUAGAGACAUCAAAUUAAGUUUUGCUCACCUCAAUUCUGUAGAAAUUAAGACACCGGCGAUAGGUUGAAACAUCCAAAGACAGCCAUCAUGAUAAAGUUUAAUAAUUAGUGAGAAAGACCUGAAUUUGACUUAAUACAAAAGAAAUCAAGGAUGAAGUACUAGGUCUAGGUUGUAUCUAACAUUCAAUAAAUCAAAAUAUUGUAACGCUUGUAUAACUCGACAUAUUUGAGUUUGUUCAUAUUAUUAGUCUCAAGUCUAAAUAAUACAGCAGGGUUGUUGAUGUCUGAUGGUCAAUCAAAAAUAGUUUCUUCACUCUAUAAAGAUGGAAUCAAGGUUGAGUAUAUCUUACUCUCCUUAUAUCUUAUUAAUAAGAUUAUAUCGAGUUUGUUGUUGUUGGUGGUGAUUGUGUCAAACUUAUACACAUGCCUGUAUAUAUUUUUCCUUAGUCAAAAUAGAUUUUGCUAAUUAUGCUUUGGCCGAAUCUUAGAUCUCUUUGGUCUGAUAUGGAGAGUAUUAAUAAUAAUAAUAAUAAUAAUAAUAAAUAAUAAUAAUAAUAAUAAUAAUAAUAAAAAUAAUAAUAACAACAAUAUGCAUAUGAUAAUUUAAGUUUAUAAGUUAGUUAAAUUUAUUUAUCUUCUGUAUGAAAUUGUCACCCCUAUCAAUUUAUAUAUUUAUAUUUUAUUAGCACCUUUAAUUUAAUUAAAGAUUUUAUUCAUUUAUCCGUAAUAUCUUUUCUAAUUUUCAAAGUAUUCUUUUAAAAUAGAGCUUCUAAUUCUCUUUUUAUUCCAUUUCGUCGUUCGUGAAUCUUCUUAAAACACAUACUUUUUAAUUUUACAUUUUUUGUAAAUAAUAUCGUAACACAAUAUAAUUAAAGACAAUAAAGUAAACAAAGGAAAAAAGUGAGAAAGAGAGGAGAUCCAAACUGUUUAUCAAGAAGGUGCAGCUUGCUAACAUCUCCUCUGAUGUGAUUCAAUUGUCUCAAUUUUUCCACCUUUUCCUUCAUUAAUAUAACAAAAAAAUGUAUUAAAACUAAUUUAAAAUGGGUCAAACAGAUAUCAAUAAUUUAAAAAAAAAAUUAUGACAACUCUCUCAAUUAUACACUUUUUUAAUUAAGUCAAGCUUGUUUUGUUGAAUGAAUUAAAACAAGUCAAAAAUCACUUAGUAUUUCGUUAAUUUUGAGAAUGUUAUUUUCAGAAUCUUUUAAUUAAUACACGCUCAAUUUCAAUUUGUUUAUCUGAUUUCAUCUUGAUGUAAUUUAAUAAACUAAUAUCACUUUUGUAUCUUACGAUCUUAAACUAAAGAGAGAUAGAAUGUGUCAAAAUAAACAUGUGUUAUGUGAAAAGUUAGAAUUAAAAAGUUAUCGAAAAAGAAAAAAAAGUUUUGAUCAAAGAUCGUUAAAUGUCCUACAUUGGUGAAUAACUAAACUUCUGAGGGUAUAAUUAGUUUUGCCUAAAAUUUAACUAAACAUGGUAUAAGAGUCAAACUUGAUGUAGGCCUCAAGAAAUGGAACAGUUGUGGGGGUGGAAAUACACCACCACCACCACCCCCGUCCAUAAACAUCACACUCCGGAUCGGACAGUGUUUGAAUAAAGAAUAUCCAAAUCUGGACUUAAUAGGGUGUUACCAUGAAAUCCCACAUAAAAAUGUCUAGGUCUGGGUAUGAGAUCUGGUGUAAAGCGGUGAUGAAGGAAUGAAGUGUCCCACAUUGGUGAAUAACUAAGCUUCUGAGGGUAUAAUUAGUUUUUCCUAAAAUUUAACUAAACAUGGUAUAAGAGUCAAACUGGAUGUAGGCCUCAGGAAAUGGAACAGUUGUGGGGGUGGAAAUACACCACCCCCAUCCAUAAAUAUCACACUCCAGGGACAGUGUUUGAAUAAAGAAUAUCCAAAUCUAGACUUCAUGGGGUGUUACCAUGGAAUUCCACAUAAAAAUGUCUAGAUCUGGGUAUGAGAUCUGGUGUAAAGAGGUAGUGAAGGAAUGAAGUGUCCCAUAUCGGUGAAUAAAUAAAUUUCUGAGUUCCUUGGGUUACACAAAAGCCCUAACUUGACACAUUCUUAUUAAAAUGUAUAAUAAAAAAGAAACAAAUUGAAAUGGGUAAGAACGAGUACUAAUUUUCGUUUCAAACUUUAGCAAAUUUCAUCAUCAUAUAAAAAUUAGACGGAUUAAUCAACAUUAAUAGAAACAAGACAUAAUUUUAGAAAAUAGAAAAGUCCUACAAAUACAUAUAGAUAAUAAAUAUAUAAAAGAGUAAAGUACCUUAACAUCGGUCAUGUGACUAGCCCCAACAAAAGAAAAAAAAACUCAUAAGUUAGUGCUACACUAUAUAAGUUACUAAUAGCUAAAUAAAUAUCAAGAAAAUAAAGAAAAUAUUCGUGUACGUGAAUCUCCGCUCAACCGGAAGCAUAAGGUAUCUCUGAAGCAUAUCUUCGACUCUACAAAAAUUGCAAAUUUAGUUUUUUUUAAAAAAGUUAAUCAAGAUAAUAGUUUUAUAGAUUAAUAACUAGCACGGCAAAAUGGAGAAUUCAUAUUUUUAUUCGAAAUCAUAAAUACAAUACCUUUGUGGGCUACAGAAUUUAUUGAGACGACCAGAAGGCGAGAACGCGACAAACAACACAUCCACGUCACAGCAAAACGCAAUCUCCUCAGCUUUUUUUAAUAAACUACUACGUCGCUUAGAAAAUGUAACUUGACGUUUCGUUGUCUCUUCUAUUUUCUUUAUCUCAAUUUUUCUACCCAUCUUUAAAAGGAAUCUCUUCUCUACCUCAAAGGGAACAAUACAAUGAUUGAAAGAGCAGGCUCCAAAGUACCUAAUUUAUAAGGUCAAAAAAGCUAUUUGGGUCAAUAUGAAAUAAAUAAAAAGUUGGUCAACCUCAUCCAAACAUGGUCGUGUGCAUGUGUUAUUAAUUGUUGACUUUUGGACAAUAUUAGUCAACUGUUUGUCCUCUGCACGUGUGAUUGCAUUAAUUAAUUAAUUAAUAAUAAUAAAAAGAAAGUAGCUAAUUUAUAAGGUCAAAACGCUAUUUGAGUCAAAUGUUAAAAUAAAUAAAAAGUUGGUCAACCUCAUUCAAAUAUGGUCGUGUGAAUUAUCAUAACCAAUUUGACAUUUGGACAAUAUGAGUUAAAGUGUAUGUAUUUUGCAUGUGUGUUUGCAUUAUUAUUAUUAUUAUUAUUAUUAUUAUUAUUAUAAAUAAUAAUAAUAAUAAUAAUAAUAUAUAUAUAUAUAUAUAUAUUAGGUAAUUUACCUACGUUUCAUGCGGGCAUAUGUUAUUUUUAUAUUCUUUUGAACAAUCUUUCAUAUAAUUACUUUUAUAAGGAAAAAAAUGUAAAUUAUUGUAGUUUUUAGAACAUUUCUAAAGAAAUUAAAUGAUUUGACAUUGGCAUAUAUUUUAAAAAUUGCAAAUAUAUAAAUAUUGAUUAUAAAAUAUCUUGGUAUCUAAUUGUUUUUAUAUGUUACAUAAUUAAUCAUAUUAUAUGUUAUAUGAUAUAAUUGUCUUGUUAAAAUUGAUUGAUGUUUUAAUGUAGCGACUAAACAUAAUUUUUUAUAUUUUUUUAAUAUGAAAAAUAUAGAAUCUUAUAAUUUUAUGGUUAAAAUAACUCGUGUAAAUAGAUUUAUGUGAAAAAUUUUGAUGAUAAAUAUGAGUUAUAAAUAAAUUAAGACUGUUAAAAAUUUACACUGCAACAACAAAUAAUUUUUUUAGAGACGAUCUACUUGUGCGAGGUCAAAUGUUCACCACUUUUCGUCAUUAUUAAUUUGUUACUCUAACGACAUUUAGAAGGAGAAAAACAAAUUUGUAACAACAACAAAAUUAUAUUGUUGACUCUUAUAGAAAUUCAUUCAUCAUUAAAUUGCCGAAGGCCCUUCGAAUUCUUCAUCAAUGAAAAUUUAUGACUUUUGCAAGAAUAUUUACGUGUAGUUGUUGCAUUAUGAAAGUACAAAUCGAUAAACAUGUUUGAUAUUAGACUCAUUUUAAAAAAAUAUUCUCAAACAUUUAAAAAAUAAAAAAAGAUUCUAACCUAGAUAAUUCAAAUGCUCAGGGAACAUGAAGGAUAACAAAUAUAUGUUAAUAGACAUAUCUUUAAGAUAUUACCUUUGUUUAGAGUAGGUUUUGUUUCAUAUUCAUCAAAUUAAGCUUGAUGAAAAUAAUCACAACUUACAUUUCGUAAAAGUCGCAAUUCUUCAUAAAAGUAACAACUUUUCAUAAAAGUUGCAACUUUUCAUAAAUGUCACAACUUUUCAUGAAAAAAGUUAAAAUUUUUCAUAAAAAGUUUUAACUUUUCAUAAAAGUUAUAAUUUUUUAUGAAAGAAGAAGGCUAGUUCUGGAAAUAAAAUAAAUUUAAAGAGAAUCCUUGCUUGUGGUGGCGCCACAUAGGCAUGACUAGGAUAUAUAUAUAUAUAUAUCUUUCUAAAAAAAUAAUGAAGAAUUUGAAAGAUAAAAAUAUACUUAAAAAGAAACAUUAUAACUUACCCUUACAUUAACAAUUAAUAAAAGAGAAAGUUAUUUGUGUUAAAUAUGGAAUAAAUAAAAAGUUGGUUAACAUCACCCAAACAUGGUCGUGUGACUAUAUUAUUAAACGUUAAAUCAUCAUAAAGAAUUUAUAUUCGGAAAAUUAAUUAAAUACAUGCAUUAUGCCCGUAUAUUUAUAAUAAUAAUAAUAAUUACAUAUACACACACCAAAAAAUUAGUAUAAUUUUUUUGUAAAAUAAAUGAAGAAUUUGAAAGAUAAAAAAUAUAUUUUAAAAAGGAACAUCAUAACUCAAAUCACCCUGAUAAUUAAUUAAUGUUGUAAAUCCAUUAUAUAUGUGGAUGAUCCAUUAGAGUUAUCCAACAAUUAAUUGGAUUCAUGUAUUAGUGUUUCCAAUGUGAUAAGAUUUCAAGUGAUAUGAACCUUGAUGAUAACUAUGUAUAAUUCCAAUGUGACCUUUGGCUAUGAUAUCUCAACACUAUAAAUAGAGAUAUCAUUCACCAUUGUAUGAUACACUUGAAUAAGAAAAACUCUCUCCUCUAUCUUAUACUUCUUGUCUUUUUCUUCUUAUAUUCUGAGCUUUCUUUACAAUACGUUAUCAGCACGAAGUUGCUACUUGCAAAGAAAUCCCCAUUUGUUAGUUGGAUUCAAGAUGAGUAAUAGAGAUGUAUGUCUUCUUGAUAGUGCUACAACGCAUACAAUAUUAAAAGAAAAGAAAUACUUUUCUAAUUUGGUUAUGAAAAUGGCAUAUGUCAACACAAUAUCAAGUAGUACAAAAGUAAUUGAGGGCUCUGGAAGAGCGACCUUAUUACUAUCUAGAGGGACAAUAUUAAGCAUUGAUAAUGCAUUAUAUUGUAGUAAGUCUCAAAGAAACUUAUUCAGUUUCAAAGUAAUUCGCCAAAAUGGCUAUCAUGUUGAGACGGCUCAUGAAGGAAAUGUUGAAUACCUUUACAUUACUACAAUUAAUGUAGAGAAGAAAAGUGUGCAUGAAAAAUUACCUGCAUUUUCUUCUGGGUUGUACUAUACAAGUAUAAGUACAGUAGAAUCACAUGCCGUAGUAAAUAAAAGGUUUACUAAUUUUAUUGAUUUUAUCAUUUGGCAUGACCGGUUGGGCCAUCCCGAAUUUAAUAUGAUGCGCAAAAUCAUUGAGAAUUCACAUGGGCGCACCUUAAAAAGCCCAAAUAUCCUUCAAUCAAAGGAAUUCUCUUGUGCUGCUUGUUCUCAAGGAAAGUUGAUCAUUAAGCCAUCAACAGUUAAGGUUGGAAUUGAAUCCCUUGCGUUUCUGGAACAUAUACA
rnacentral:lncRNA from 1 species